UUUUUUUUUUUUUUUUUUUUUUUGUAUCACCCUCUUUUUUAUUGGAACUUGGGAUGCAGUUUAGUUCUUUCUUUUUUAUUUUUGGCAACCAAACCAAAAAUGAAGUUCCUAUGCUCUGUAAUCUUUCUGUAUCUAUACAAGAUGUAGCAAGUUAUAAAAAAUUAAUCAAAAUAUUUUUCCUUAAAUUCUUUAAUUGGUUGCCAAGUAAAAACCUAUAUAUACCCAGGUGCAUUUUCAUUCCAUGGUUCUGUUAUGAUAGAUUCUUGCAUGUUUCUUUCACUUACUUUUACUCACCGAAAUCUGGUGUAAGGUUCAAUCAGGGCCUACAUGUAUAGACGACUCAAAGACUACUAUUGCUCUUGCAACUUCAAAUUGUGGAGAGAAGAAAUUUUGCAAGCACCCUGAAUCAUGAACUUUCAGGACUGAAAAACUAGUAGUGUUAUUUAGCCGGAAAAAACUAAAUGUAUCUAAUUCUCAGGCUUCCUUUAUCAUUUAUAUCUUGGUAAUGGUGCAAAUUUGUAUAAUCUCUUUGGCCGAUUGACCCCAAAAAUGUUCCAUUGACCAAGAAAAUAUGUUACCCAUUUAUGUUCAUUGGACUUGUUCAAACUCAACUUGGUUAUGGUAGACAACCAAUAUCAUCCAUGCAAAUUGAUUAGUGAACUCCACAAUGAUAUGGAAGAAUAAAAUGACAGGACAAUCAAUCUCUCUUACUUUAGAAACAAAAAAAAAAAGAAAGAUCAUCUCUCAAGCACGAUCUACCAUUCUUAAUUGUAUUUGCAUAUCACAUGAACCUCCACCAGUCCAAGAUUAACGUUCUAAUCAGUUCAAAACGUUGAUGUUUGAGCUUAGCUGCUGUUUAUAUAAGAGCCUUCUCUUACUUGCCCUUGUGAUCAACACUCGUAAUUAAUGUCCCUUCAUAUUUUUGGUUAAGGGCUCUUUUAACCUUCGUCUCAACUCAGCCUAAUUCUCUAUAGUUCCCUUGGGAAUCAAACAAGUGCGAGAAAUGUCUGCGAAUAACAUUGAGAGCAAUGGAAAAUCCGCCGUGAACAUGGGGCAGCAACCAGCGCAGGCAGCUCCGGUGGCUGCUGUAUUUAGUGCAGCCGGGCCGUGGUCAACUGGUUUAUGUGGUUGCUUUGAAGAGACCUCCAAUUGUAAGCACAAUCAUCAAUAUUCCCUCGAAGAUACAAGUUCUAAACCUACAAUACAAUAUAUUUGUGAGCUUCAAAUGUUGUUUAACCGUUGUAUGAUUUGUUCGUAGGCUGCGUGACCUGUUGCUGUCCCUGCAUCACUUUCGGUAGGAAUGUCGAAAUAAUUGACCAGGGAACCACAUGUAAGUUCUUGAACAUCCCUAGAGUUUAUUUAUCAUCUCACUUUUUUGUAAAAAUCAAUGAGAUUGAAAGAUUUAACUAUGAGUAAAUCUUAUAUACACUGAAAAUGUAUACACUAUAACCGUUGAAUCCAUGACAUGUGUGUAAAAGUUGGAGUUUAAAUUCAAAUUUUGUAUAUUUGUUACUCAUCCAGUGCCGACAGUGUAUACACUGACACUAUCAGUAUAAGAAAGAUUAGUUCUUUUAACUGUUAACAACACAUUAUUCAGAGGUAUUAAUUUCUGGAUGUAAUUUAGCCAUAUAUAGGAUAGGGUAACAUUUCCCGAUUGUACUAUUAUUGAUCAGUUUUCUGAUCUCUAUUUUUACUUACGACGUGCCCGUGGGGGCUUAAUGACGGGCAGCCUGUGCUCAAGCUGGGAUCAUAUACUACUGCCUGGCGCAUGUUGGGUGCGCAUCAUGUUACUCAUGCACCUAUCGUUCCAAACUAAGGGCUUACUUCAAUCUCUCCGAAGACCCUUGUAACGAUUGCCUUGUUCACUGCUUCUGCCUCCCUUGUGCUGUCUGCCAAGAGUAUAGAGAGCUCAAGAAUCGCGGCCUCGACCCCUCCCACGGUAUACAACCCAUACCUCAUCAUCCUUACCACACUAUCUAGUCUCUGAUAUUAUAGACUGAAUUAACAAUUGAAUUAUACAUUCUUCAGAUUAAAGUCCAACCUGUAUAUAUGAUCAAGAUUGUCUUUCGUUCGAUCAUAACACUCCUAUAGCUGUUUUUUUUUCUUUCUUGGUUUAAAUCCUUCGAUAUUUUGUGGCUGGAUUAUGUUCCGACUAAUUUAGAAUCGAGCACUAUCCUACAUUUUUUCAGGAAUGAAUCUCCCGACAUUAUUUUUUUUCAUAUAAAAGUAUACGGAGCGAUUUCUUUAUGUAAUUUAGUACUUAUAUGUUGUUGAUUAACAAAUAUGAAGGAUGGAUAGCAAAUGUUGAGAGAUGGAACCAACUGGCGGUCAGGACAACUGCGCCCCCAACUUUUGAAGCCGGGAUGUAUCGUUAGCCAGCUUUCAGGCCUUCGAGCACGGGAUCCUUCUGCUUUUUAAUUUGAAUAUUACUAGUAUGAUUAAUGUACCAUCAAGGAUUCUAGCAAUUGCAUUAACACGAUUGCUUUCUCGUUCAUUACUAGUUUGUGUUUUGACUGUGCUUUGAUUGUAUUUAUAUCCAUUUGUUUAUCAAGAAAAGAAGAAAAAAAAAAUAUUAUAUUGAAGUAUGUUCGCUUUAAUUAGUAUCAACAAAUCUCAGUCCAAAUUCUUUUGCUUGCAUGAUCUUUAGUUUACUCACUUUGAGUAAGGAAUACCCUAAAGAUUAUGGCUUUGUUGUCUAAAUUUUCUUGAAAUUCAUCUCACUUUAGUUCUUAAACUUCAACUCUGUACACUACUUUACUAAGCAUAUAUAAAAUCCAUCACAUGCAUUUUAAUCUUAAAAUUUGAGGAUAUCUUGAUUAGUGUAAAUGGGAUUAUGAAAUUAUAUUUGAAAAUAAAAAUUGUGACAGCCCCACCUUCCCCUAAGGCGAACCAAAGAGGUUAGCGGACUGUCUGCCCAACUCUCGCCAGGACUAACGGUGCAGUUUAGAGCGAUCUAUUUCGUUCUGGAACUUAUAAACGCGCGUAAACAAGGCAAAAGGGCAAAAUAACCCAAAAUAAAAAAAAAUGAAAUUCGGAGUCGGUCAUGAAUAGUAACCAACCCGUCAGAACGCAACCAAAUAACGAACAAACAUUCACAUCUUGAACUUUAGCAAAUACAAUCCAAAGUGACAUACAAAAGUUGUCAAAAGUGAAUAUAUACACGGUUUGCCAAAUUGAAAGUGAAAACGGCCCUAAAGAUACAUUUAGGGUUUCACUUCAUAUACCAUACAAAAAAAAUAUACAUCUAGUUCAUUCGGCAACCAUCUAUCAAGAUUCAUUCCAAAAAGAGUCAUAUUCCUGUAAGGAAAACAAAAGAAACGGUGUGAGCUAAUUGCCCAGUGAGAUACUAUCACUUACGCAACCAUGUGCACAUAAGCAUCAAACUUUCAUUCAAUAUAGUAAAAUAAGCAAAGGCACACGUCAAAUAUGGUGAUAAAAUGAUACAGAUGGCUCUCAAGAGCACUUUUCCUCAUUUGCAUUUCUUGAUCGGACGUCAUUGACUCUCCGUCAAUGUUCAAAAAUAACCAACCAUAGACCCCACUUUACUUCCAUUCCUUCCACCUAACAUUCUCCAACCGGGCCCGAAAUCCAAACACUUGCAUUGUGGUAUUACUCGAGUAAACCGGAAUCGAGAGUCUCUCAUACUACAAGAUUCCAUAUAACAUUACCCCAAGGCACAUUAAUUGGCACGACCAAUCCCUCGCCGGCUCGAUUCAAUCAAUUACCAAUGGGGUUGAGCUCAAGGAUAACAAUUGUAGUCGUUGGAGACUCGUCCAAACGACACCAAGUCAUGUAUUUCAUUUCAUAUAACAUUUCAUAUAACAUUCCAAUAACUUUCCAACAACAUGCGAAACAAUAAGUGAAAGUGAUAAAGUACACUCUCACUUCAAUCAAUUAACAUUCAACAUCUCAAGUUCAAGUAUCAAAGUCAUAUAAUAACACACAAGUGAGUAGUAUACUCACCAAACUCGCAAAUGUGGUUUCAUGCACUUCCGUCAAAAGAACGUUGUGCACCACGGUCACGUCCUAAAACAUGCAAACAAAUACAAUGAGACUCGAUAAUGAGUCAUAAACCAAGGCCAAACAUGACCACAAUAGGGUUCCAUAAGCAUAUACAAACAUUAAAGGAAACCAGAAAUUUUGGAAAUGUAACUAGCUUUGGCCCUGAAAAAAAAAACAGUUUUUGUUCUCAUUUUGCGGUAAUGGCACCAAUUUCACUACGAUUAUCGGAUGAGGUUGCAAGACCCACCAUUUCGAAGCUAAAAGACAGGGCUACAACAUCACAGAAGGUCACUCAACCCAGUUUUGAGUGCAAACAGGUCAAAAAUGCAAGAUACUACAUCAAAAACGUAAAACAGAUUCACCAAAACGCAUUCUAGCGGAAACAUCAUAACUCAGGCUCUACAAGUCCAAAUCCAGAAAUUCCAAAACCAGCUGAAAGCUAAGAAAUAGGGCUAAAUUUCAUCAGAAGGCCUCAACAACCAAUUCGGAAGCAAUUCCAGCCAAAACAACCAAUUACAGGCGCAAUUCUUACAUUCGGUAAAACCAGAACAGCAAUAGUAAUGUCGACUUUUCUCAUUCUACACUACUCCGAUUGACCUGAAAUUUUGUAGGCACCUCUAAAAUGUCAUUCCCUACAACUUUCAUGUCUUAAGCCAAGGCCAAUUCGGCCUCUAACUAGGCGCUAAAAAUUCAGGCAGAAUUGAAGGGUAUGAAACCCUAGUCUUCCAAAUUUCCCUCCAAACCAAAAAGUGCUUGCAAUUAACAAUCAUUUACACCUACUAGCCUCAUUUUAGGCCAUUGUCAAUCAUCAUACAAGGCCACACCAUCAAAUUCAUAUAUAAACAGAAAAAUCACCAAUAAAUAGAAAACUUCUCCACUUCAUCCAAAAUCAAGAAAUAAACCACAAAAUUCAACAUUUUAACUACCACUAAGCACAAAUUAAGCUUCAUUAGGUGAAGGAGAAGGUUCAUUCACUACUCACCUAGUAAAACAAGAGAGGGAGAGUUGCUUGUCACCUUAGCUUCCCCAAACACUUCACCAAACAACUCACUAACACCUAAUGAAGAGGUUUUAUGGAGUAGAAACAAGUUUAAGUGAUUGUUUUGGAGGAUUUGAGCUAGAUGGAAGCUAAAAACUUGAAGAGUUUUCUUGUUUUUGGAGCUUGAAGAGGUUGGCCAGGGAAGAGAAGAAAAUGGUGAAUUUUUGGUAUUUUUUUUGAUUUAUUUGGUCAAAUAGUAAAAAGGUGAAUAGUUGUGGACAACUCAAUCCAAUCACAUGGUGACACUUGUCACCUCAUUUAAAGCAUCUCUAUCCUUUUGUUCCCUCUCACAUCAAUCACAUCUCAACCUCUACUUAUCUCUUAACACCCGAUAAAUUUCACCCAGUAUCCGGAACUUAACCUAAUUGGUCGAAUUUUUCCGAACUUUUCGCACUAGCGGGUCCUACGUCCAAUAUAUAUCUUUAAUUUUUCCAAAACUAUCCAAUACUAGAAAAAUCAUCUAAAAACUAUAUUUACUCAUAAAAUUCACCGAGAAAAUUUUUCCUAAGCCAGAAAAUGCAGAAAACAUGCCAUUAAGAGGGAAAACCCUAGGAAAAAUAUUAGGAAGAAUUUACGGGUUCUCACAAAAAUAGUAGAUGAUGCCAUAUUACGUAUUUUAAUCAUACACAAAAAAACUGAAAAUAAAUUUACAAUUUACAUUUUGGUUCAUCAUUACGCUAUUAACGUUGAGUCUUUUCGUGCCUAUUCAAAUGCAAAAUCUAACAACUAAACUGGAUUAAAAAAAAAUGAAGGCGACAAAAUUUAAAUAUUAAACGAGAUGAGAAAUUCUUUAGCUAAAUGAGAAAAAUUGGGUGGAAAAAACAUUUUCCCAUUUAGACCCAUCUGUUUUUGGCUAAACCCCAAUGCAUUUCCAUUUCAUUUAAGCCAGCUAGUGCAACUCAAUCAAUUGGGCAACAAUGUGAAAAUGCAGAAAUACAAAGGCAACAUUACAUAAGUUUUAGAAAGCGAAAAGAAAUCAAGAAAGUUGUCAUCAAGAUGGAGAAAUGCAAAGACACUAUUUUUCAAAGGCUGAGAAAGAGGGAAGCAAGGAGUCUGACGGUGAAUAAAGAUACAUUGCCUGCCUUUGAUCAAUUUUAAGGCAAAAAAGAACAAAAAUCCUUCACCCCCCUCAUCAAUUGAUAUUGGAUUCUCAAAGGCCUUUUUAAUUCUACUAAUUAAACUCAUGGGGGGAUUUAAACCUUAUAUCUCAAUGCUUAAACCACAACGAUGAAGGACUCAAAGUGAAAGCAAAUUAGAAUAUGAACAUUUUUUUAUUGAGGAAAAAAAUUAUUGCAAAAGUAUUUAUAAUUCACAAAAAAGCAAAAAAAAAAAAAAAGUUGGAUAAAUUGGAACCGGAGCAACAGGAAGCCCAUCCACCUUGUGGUUGGCCCAAUCUCGCUUUCCCCGCCACGAAGGUCCAGUUCCUCUCUUGCCGGUUAGCAAAGAAGAAGAUUAAUUCUGAAGAAACAAAACUCACCAUCUCAUUUAUAUCAUCAAAACUCGAGAUCUUAAUAACCAGAGCAAUCAAACAGAUUUCUGCUCUUCAAACUAAAUCUGCUUAAUUCUUCUUCAAAUAUUUACUCUCUCCAAUUGAAGACUCAAAAUUUCACGCAAAAUCCUUAUAUUAUACACUGAAAAAGGGGAAAAAAAAAAAUCAUCCCUGGAAAAUCUAAUUAUACAGAGAGAGUCAGAUAUUAAUUGGAGCAAACAGCUUAGCUUUGAGGCCGAUCAGCAAUGGAAACCACGCAAGGUGGAACGGAGAGAGAGAAAUCCAACUCGGCUUCUUCGGCUCCCGUUCCUGCUGUCGCCAGCUUCUGGAAAGGUACAACAUUCUAAUGCAGGAGUACUUUAUAAUCCUCUUUUCUUAGCAGCUCUUGUUUUUAGUUAAAUGCAAUUACUUGUAUGGUUGAUUUAAUCAGAAUUUUGGGAUAUCAUUUUUUUAGUGAAUUUUGUUAUCAUUCACUGAGUUUUAAGAUUUAUGUGAGAGUUCGAGAACAGAUUGGUAAUGUUAGUUAAAUCCUGUAGUUUUUCUUAUUAGUAUAAGUUCUAUUCAAACCUGGGGGAUUUUUCAGUUAGAGAUUUAACUCCUAGGUAUAAGUUUGAAAUGAUUGAGUAUCAUUGGAAAUUGGACAAGUUAGCGGAGGCGAAUCAAGCUAGUAUCAACAGUGCCUUGAUAAAGGAGCAAGCGUGUGCUGCAUUAUUAGCUAGUAUUUGGUUUGAGCCGUGUGUAAGUUUUGUGUUUUGUGUUUCUGGAUCUAGUUCAGUGAGCAAAGUAUGUGGCAUGUGUCUGCUAUGUUGGGUAAUAUCUCUCCGCAUUAUUAGUUUCAGAAGCUGAUGAAGUGUCGCCAGGAGGAACUUAGUAAUGGGUUAGUCUUUUAUGCCCUAAGAGUGUGAAAAUUUGUGUUAAAUCUCCUGUUAAAUGUGACAUACAUGUAUACCAUCCCAUGUAAAAUAAUCUUUACACAUUUUUGGUGUAUGAAAGAUUUGUGCUUUAACUUAGUUUUGCUCUAAUUAGUAGGAAUUUAAUUAGAGAAUAUGGAAAUAUUUGCAAGAAUUUUGUUAAACAUGCCUAGCCACUUUUUUUACCUUACAACCUAAUGAGGUAGUAUCGGACAAUAUGUUCUGCUUCAUUGGUGUUGCUAUUUUCUUGCCUCACUGAUAUGUCAUAUUUUGCUAUUUCAGACACUCCAUGGUUAAUGUAUGAAUGAAAAAAAUGUUUCUAGUUCCUUGCAUGUGAAAUUACAGAGUUAAAAAGAUUUGGAUGUUUGUAUUUGAAUUUGAAGUAAAGAUUCACUUUUAUGGAUCUGUAUUGGCUGGGUUGUUGGAAAAACUUACACUUAUAAAUCAUUUGAUCAUGCAGAUUUUGAUCUGGAGAAAGAACGAGCCAUUCUGGAUGAACAAGGGCUUAGGAUUGCUGAGAAUCAGGAGAACAGUCAGAAAAAUCGUCGAAAGCUCGCUGAGAGUACUAGAGGUAUUAUACUUGCCAGGUCACUAUUGUAGUCCCUGAUGUUCAGUUUUAACUUAUGUGAAUGGUAGGAGAUCCUUCUCCUAUCGCUUGAUCGGUGUAAAUUGUUGGUGCUGCUAAUAUAUCUUUUUUGAUGACCUUUUCUGAAAUUCUCUUCAUAUACUGUUGACAGACUUCAAGAAAGCUUCAAAUGAAGAAAAGUUGAGUUUGUUUAACUCUUUACUCAAGGGAUAUCAAGAAGAAGUUGAUAAUCUUACCAAGAGGGCGAAAUUUGGAGAAAAUUCAUUUCUUAACAUUUAUCAGAAGCUUUAUGAAGCACCAGAUCCUUAUCCAGUUCUUGCUUCAAUAGCAGUAAGUACAAGUUGUCUGUUCACUUUUCCUUGUUUGUCUUUUUCCUUGAGAUUUUGUGAAGUAUCAUUCUGCUUUCCCAUGUAGCUGAAGUCCAUUUGUCUUUGAAGUUGAGUGCAGAAGAUACUUGAUGUCUCUCAACAUGGAAAAGAACGUAGAAUUUGAAAUUAAAAUCAGUUUGUCAAAUUUGUCUGCCUUGCGGAUAAUGAGAGACGGAAUAACGAUCUCAUGAUUAUGUUGCAUAAAAUUCAUGCUUCAUAUCUUAUUAUUUUUCUUACUUCGCUGGCUUCCCUAUGCAGAGUAAUAGAUAAGCCGCCAAAAUAGCAGUUGGAUUUACAGUGCAAGAAAUUUAACUCCGAUAACUACUACACCUUUUCAACAGCUGUCAUGGAAAUCAUAUGGACAUCGUAGAGUGCAUGAAAUACCUAAUAUCUCACAGAAGGCUUCGUAAAAGAUGUGAUUUUUGAAAGCUUUCUUUGCUGCAAGAUUAGUAACUUUUGAACACUUAUCCAAUCAAUAUGGAAGUUUACUAGUAAAAGGACUAAAAUUAGCUUCCUAAUUAACUUCUAGAAGUUGGGAUACAAGCUUUGUACACCAAAGCUCCGCUGCAUACUUUAACAAAGUUAAGCUGUUCUUCCUUUUAGCUAAUUAGAAUCAUGUACCAUGAAAGUUCUAUUUCAUCUCAAUGUAUGUUAUUUGUAUUAAGCACCAGGAAACAAAAGCUACUGCAUACUAUAUCCUUCAUAGAAUUGAUGAGGUCUUUGCAUGACUGGAACCGAUGGAACUGAUGAGCUUGUGUCAUAACCUAGCAGUCUUAAAAGACUCAUUUCUAAUGGAUUAGUGAUUGUUGUGAUCAUUCUGCAGGAGAAAGACUCAAAGCUGUCUGAACUAGAAUCAGAGAACCGAAAGAUGAAGGUUGAGCUUGAGGAAUUCCGCACAGAGGCAACUCAUCUGAAAAACCAACAGGCAACCAUACGAAGACUUGAAGAGCGGACCCGCCAGUUAGAACAACAGGUUGGAAUCUUUUUAUAUAAUGUGGCAUAUGUUCCAUUUUAUGCUUUUUGAGCAAAUGUGCAUUGGUCUUUUAGGUUUUUUAUUAUUGAGCAAUUGGUGUAAAUUGAGGUUGACAAAUCAGACUCUUCCUCCUCUUUUGCAAUUUACUUUUAUGUUCCUUUCUUCAGUCCAUCUUUUGACUUCUUUCUGUGGACUUUCUACUUUUUGUGAUACGAUCUAGGAUUGCUCUAAUCGAUAUAAUUAUGGGUGGAAAUCCUAUUAUACUUAGUUGUUCAUACAGUGGUAGUUUUUUCUUCUUGUCACAAUAUCUAGUAAGCAAUUGAAGUGUCUGGAGGAGAGCUUUCUAGAGUAAACCAGUUCAAUUUCUACUUGUGAUACUUUUUGCUGCGUCCAGGAUUUUCUUUAUCUUUCACAGCAUUCAAUAUCUCCCUGUACUGUUAGCUUCCAUAUUUAUUUUAAUCUACAGUAAAGUCCUUUUUCAUUAUUCCUGUGAUCAAGACUUGAUACAUAAGCUCCUGACUAAUAGAGGAUCUAUGCUAGUGGAUAAUAUGGCAGGUUUUUACACUUCAUCACGGGGUGUAUAGUCUAGUUUAAUUUGGCUUUUUUGUGUGUGUGUGUGUGUGUUUUUUUGGUGCCUAAUAUAGAUGUUUUUGUCCUGAUCGUCUUUUUCUGCUGUAAAUUUAGAUGGAAGAAAAAGUAAAAGAAAUCGUGGAGAUUAAGCAACGUAGUUUGGCAGAAGAGAAUCAAAAAACUAUGGAGGUUUUGAAGGAAAGGUAUUAUCAUCCUAUAGAAUCGCAAGCAGCUAGUGUAUUAAUGCAGUUGCUGAUGUUAGUUUUUAUGUCAUGUCAAGGGAGUGUAUUCCCCCCCCCCAACAAAAAAACAAAAAAAAAAAAGUUAUUACUGCUUUAUCCCUUGAUGCAGGGAGCGGAUGUUGCAAGAUCAAUUACGCCAAGCCCAAGACAGUGUCUCUACCAUGCAAAAGUUGCAUGAACUUGCACAGAGCCAGUUGUUUGAAGUUCGUGCACAAUCAGGUUUUACUGGCCUGUCACAAUUCAUUAAUCAAAUGUAACAGAAUGAGAGAUGAAAGUUGGAAGAUUGUUUUGGAAAAUCCGUGAAUAUACUGUACCUAAUGUUGAAGAUUGUCCAUUUCAGAGGAAGAGAGAGCAGCAAAACAAUCAGAAGUCAAUCUCUUGAUGGACGAAGUUGAACGUGCACAAUCACGGCUUCUUAGUCUUGAGAGGGAGAAGGUGUGUGACAGGAUCCCCUCUUUGUUUUGAAAAAGAUAAGACAUCCUUUUAUGUUAGUUUCAGCCACUAAUAUGGCAUGUGUGUUUGGUUGGAGAUUGUUCUUUUAUCAAAAUUUGGGUCAGUCUGGGCUUGUUUGAAGAUUGACCACAGUUAUCAUCAGUUAUUCAUUUUCUGUUCAUAGUAGGGGAAUGGUGUAAAAUGUUUUGUGAUGCCAUAUUACACCAUAUAUCAUUAUAGUAAUUGAACCCACAUUUAUCCCAUAUAAAUUCCCUGAAGAACAGUAGAAAAUCAAUAACAUGACCGAGGAUCCUCAUGAAUGUAUCCAGAGUUACUUGCUGUGGUUACCAUACUUGGUCCUUCAUAUUUGACACUGUUAUAGCUGUUUCCUUACCACUCAUCUUCCAGUUCGUUAGGAAGUUAUCUUAGUCAGAGAGCUGAUAUGGUCUUGAAAGGGGUUUACUCAGCUGGCAUUACAUAUUCUCAGCUUUGUAGUCAUCUGACGGAAUUCUUAUGUUCCUGCAAUUUAAAUUGGUCAGUUUACAUUCUCUUAUACUGGAAUUUGCUGCAGGGAUUGUUACAGUCACAGUUACAAACAUCAAAUGAAGAUAAUGAGCAGAAGAAAAGGUGAAUAGUUUUCCUUAAAGUAUCUUUCUUUUGUUUUUUUGAGAAUUAUGUAAUUCUUUUUAUGUUAUUAAUGCGGGCCUUCCAAUGAUGUAUAACUACUGUGUCAGAGAACUGGAAUUGUUCUUCCUUUCUAUUUUUUGAUUUGAAGAUUAUCUGAGUACAGAAAAACAGACAUAAAUUAUUUUGCUAAUCAGGGAAGAUUUGUUAGGUUUCAAUACUGUCUCAUCCUUGUUGUACUUACAGAGAUUUAUGUGCAAGUUGGAUUAUAACAAAAGCUUCCAUUUAUCAAAGUCACAGAAUGCAUACUGAUUAUUUUUUUGUUAAAGAGGUGAUUGCCAGAGAAAUGUGGAAAUGGAGCAAAAGUGUUGUUAAGAAUAUAAGCUUGAAUUAUGCCACGAUGCAUAAUUUUGUAGGUGUAAAACUUGAUGUUAGUUAGGCCAUAGUCAGACUGGAACGCACUGGUUGAGUAAGGACUUUAAAGUACCUAUCAGUUGUGAAAAUAUUUAACAUUCUCUUAUUUUUGAAGUGCUUGGUGAAGAUAUAUUGCUUCCCUACUGAAUCCAUACCUCUAUGUUGUUGAGUAAACAAUUGUUCCACUAAGACCUGGUCUAAUAUCGUCUUUUGCCUCUUUGCAGUGACAGCCUGGACGUCCAUAGCAUGCUUGAGAAUUCUCUUAGUGCCAAGGAAAAGAUAAUCUCUGAAUUAAAUAUGGAACUUCACAACCUUGAAACCACGUUAGCAAAUGAGCGAGAGCAGCACAUAAAUGAAAUGAAGAGAUUGAAUACUAAGCUUAAUGAGAAGGUAUGCCUGUUUUUCUUGACCCAUCCCAUCCCUGGGGCUAUCCAAUAAUGUUUCCUUAUGUGGUCUUGUUCCUGACUGAAAUUUUGAAGUUUUUGAUGAUAUACAGGACUGCAAUUGUCAAGUAACCAAAUAAGUUACAGAUAGUUCCUUAAUUUGAGGUCUAGUAGCUGAUGUAAUAUUGCUUCCAUGAAUUCUUUAAGAGAUAAAAGAGGACAUGAUUUCUGCAUCCUCCUUUGGCUUGAUUAUAACUAAUUGGUCUAGAAAAGGAUUAACUCUGUUAAUGAUGAAUUUGAGUGUGCUCUAAUGCAUGGAAAAAUAUAUUUCUUGUACUUAUGGAAGAUUUGGAAGGGUACUAUAACUUUCCCUUGGAAAAAUAUGAUGAGAAAUUUUAUAAUGCUAGUUCUAUGACAUACUAUAAGUACACUUUUGCUUUUGGCAAGAAUUUUCCUUUUAGAAGGGAUGGGAGGUUGGAAGCUGGAAAGCCCCUAGGGAAUGAGGCGUGGCAAGCAAGAUUUGAUCCCCUUCUUAAGAUGGGGGAAUCAAAUCCAUACCCUUUGGGUUAUACCUAGUUCUUUGUUGGCCAGACUUAUUAUCAACUAUGGGAACAAAUAUAAUAGAAGUGGUUGGAGUUUUUUUUUUCUUUCUUUUUUUUUUCAAAUUUUUAAUGAGGAUUGGUUUUCUUUUCAUGUUUUUUGAGCUGGAAGUUGAAGAAAUUGUAUCACCGUCCUCUGUGAGAAACUGAGAUCCAAGAUUCAAUAAUUUAGCCUGGUCUUAAUAGAAUUCAAGGUUGUCAUACACAAUCUUAGAUCUGUCCUUAUUGCUAUAUAUGCUCUUAUCCCCGCACAGAUUAUUGUUCCUUGUCUUUAACUGUUUCAUUUCCUUCUAAAUAGUUUCUAAUUGGUUCUGUGCCAUAAAAGUUUUAGACUUAGGCCUUGUUGACCUAUAUUUGUCAAAAUUUUCAAAUUGGAGUCCUGUGAUAGUUCUUCUAUUUUUUCUGCACUCUAACCACCUUAGUGUUAUAAUUAUGUUGGUAUUAAUUUUUGUAUAUCUUCCUUGCCUUCAUACAUCUUUUCUCUUUUGAACCUAAGGAAACUAUUUUGGAGGAGAUGAAAAAGGAGCUUCAGGCAAGGCCAACAGAAAAGUUAGUUGAUGACUUGCGGAAAAAGGUCAAAAUCUUGCAGGUACCUCACUCACUCUUACAACUCUAUGUCAUCCUUCAGGAACAUUUUCAAUUGAAAGACAGGCAGGAAAGGAUAGGGUAGAGAACUCUUAAAAUAGAAGGAAGGAAUACGAGUAAAUUGAGCAUGACAUAGUCGACGUGCUUUGAUUUUCUCGUCUUGCUCCACUGCUUCAUGUAAGCAAUUGAAAUUUGGAUAAUAAGGCAUUGACCCUAUCAAAGACUGGACAUUUUUGUCAACGUCAGUCGAGCUCGAGUCAACGUAUUCGAGCCUCUCGCGACCCGAUUGACCGAGCUCAAGUCGAACUCGUAUUCGAACCACUCGCGAUCGGCUCACGAGCGGCUCGAUUCGUGAACAGCCCUACUUGCAAGCACCUAAAGAUAGUCCCUCUUUAAUCAUCAUCUGUCAUCAAGUUAUCAGCAGUACAAUUCUAUAGAUUAAUCUUUUACAAAAGAAAAAAAAAAGUUAAAUCAUCAGUGUAUUGCAGAACAUACAUUUAAUAGUACAACACACCAAUGCAGUAAAUCAUGCAAUACUACUCAAGCCUAUAAUGUCACGCUGUGUCUGUAGACAUUAUACUUCCAGUUUAAUAUAAUUGUGGCAAUCUCGAACCGAGCAGUUGAGUGUGCUUGUAUGAAGUAUUCUGUGGCAGGAUCACUUGGAUGCUUUGCAUCUUUAGACAAAAUCACCUCAAAACCAACUAAUUUGUGGAGCAAAGUUGAGUCUUUUCUAAGAUCCUUCAUCUUCUGUGACAAUAUCUGAGAUGCACGUAAGGCAAAUACAUGACCAAACUGAUGCAAAAGCAAUUGGCAAAUUUGCAUAUAAGCAACACCAAAGGGUAAUGCAAGCUGACGUACCUCAAUCACUUUGGUGCUACAGUACAUGGCAAAUAACGAUUUAGGGCACACUGACGGAAACAAUUCAUCCAAAAGAUCCUUGUAGCUCUUCGAUGAUAUGCAUAUACAUUUCGGACGCAUUAAAUGGCAGAGAGAAGAAAAGCGGAUCUCACUCAGUUUUUCGUGAAUAAUCAUGUUCUGCAGAAGCAUUAAGAGUUAAACAUGUCAAGAAUAAAUAAGAGAAACAAUCCAGAAAAAAUGCACAAAUUGGAUAACAAAUAGGGUAUCAUAUGCAUCAAAAAAUAAGCUCCGCCUUGAUUUUCAUUGCAUAUUCCAGAUUAAUUUAUUCAAUUGCCUUCUUACACAAAUAGGAGGGCCAAUUAACACAUACAAGAUACCAAUUUGUUUGUUUUACAUGAGUUUCUCUUAUUAGGAAUAUGAAACCUAUGAGCUUCAUAAAAUUUAAUGGACGGUAGGUUAAGUUCCCAUUUUCCAUUUUUUCUGUAUUUUGAUGAAAUUCUCCAAUGAAUUUCUCAAUAAUUCUGCAGUUGAACGCACUUGUAACGCUGCCUAACAUAAUUCUGAAGGAGUAUUAAUUGUUUCCAGGAGUCAGCCUACUGAUGCAAGAUGACCACAAUGGUCCCUACUUAAAAAUUGCCUUUAAGGAACUAAGCAUCAAGUUGAAAAAUCGAGAUCAAAGACAAUAAACUAGGAAUAAUUUAAUGUUUCAAAAAGGACACAUUUGUCUGAAGUUCAAGUCUAAGAAUGUUAAAGGUGAAUAACAUACUUUUCUCAUCUGUACAGAUGGAUUCAAGGCAAUUAGAAAGUACAUAGCAGUAUGUAUUCAUCUUUUUUCUUUUGCAUCCAAGAGAGACUCAAAUACUACCAAACUGGUAUAACAUAUCUGUUAUGCAGAGAUCCAUGCCGGAACAUGUGACUGGAGGUAUCUGAUCUCCAGAAACCUAUGAAAAUAGGCUCCAAAAAUGAAAAUGCAAUAUGCCCUUAAAAGCAUAGCUGUGCACAUGCACUUCUUCAUUCUCAAGAAGUCAAUAGCAUUCUAAGGAAAGAAGAGGAUAAAACUACUAAAGAUCACAAAAGCUGAAUAGGAAUAGAAAAGAGUGUACCUUAGAACGAUGAUAGAUGAUAAACUUGAGAUCCUGAAAAAACCUUAACUUCGACAAAAAUUGAUUCAGUUUAACCACCCAAUCAACCGUUUUUCCACUAAGGGAAAAUCUUAAGUGUAUCUUGAUAUCAUCUGAGGCUUUGAUGGGAAUGAAAGGAUUGUCACAGUUGCAGCAUUCAAAAAACUCUAAAUUUGGAGUGUCAAUUUCAGCACCUGAAAAGUGACGACAAUCUCUAAAGGCCAGUCUCUUAAGCCUUUGGCUUGAAAUUCUGAUACUCCCCAACCCAUGGCAACUUCGAAACUCUAAGACUUCAAGGGCCUGGAUUUGAAAUGUCAGCGCCUGGUGCCAAAAGUUAGCUGUGUCACCUGCCCCACUGAGUUUCAACUCCUUCAGUGCAUUGCAAGUAGCCAGGUUAAUACUUCUGGGCCAGUUUCCCAAGGAUGGUGCAAACGAAAAAGUAUGAAGAUCAGACACAUCCAUCUGAACAUUAUCAAUCCCAUCACAGUACAGGAACUCAAAAUACUUCAAGUGAGAUAAACUUGAAACUGAGAGAAGUGUGUCCAUCCAUUUACAAAAUGACACUUUCACAUACUCUAUCACGGGACACCCAGAGAGAAUUUGGUGAAAUAAAAACUUGUCAGUGAAACAAGAAUGAGAUAAAGAAAGCUUCUGUAGAUGUGGAAGUUUGAUAUCCAAUCCACUCUCAAAUCUACAGCCACAUAAGCUUAAAACUUUUAGCGAGCUAGCAAGCAAAACCGAUUGCGGAACGCUAUAAAAAUAUCUAUCUGAGCCCGACAAACUAUCAAUACAAACAGCAAGUUCUGGAGCAGUCCUGUCUACUGCUAUACCAAUCCAUUGGUCCAUAUUAGGCGUCAACAACUCCAUAUCAGGGAAGUCAAUAUACAAUUGAAAUCUUUGUAUGCAAAAAUCUAGUUGCAAGCGCCGACAGAUGGAAUUUCCAGCAAGAAUCAAGAAAUCAUGUUUUCGCUUUUUUAUAUGCACGUCACAAAGAAAUUGCUGUCGUUCUGUGACUGAAUUAUCAUAGAAAAAGUGGAAUACAAGAUAAGGAUAAGUGGACCAGGUGCGAUUCCAAGUCUUUGACAAUAUUGCAGUAGAGGUAACAUCUCUGGCACGCAGAUAAGAUAAAAUGUGAUGAAUCACGGAAUCAGGCAACCGUGAGAUGAAGUCCAAAGGGGCAAUCUCCAAACCAGAUCUCUCCUGCUCACGUUCCUCUAUUAUUAACCAACAAAAGCGUACAUUGACCAGUUAGAACUCAAAUUUCAUCAUUCACUCAUUUACAAACUAAUUCCAACUCAAAUAUGCUGGAUAAUUAAAACAGAACUAAUUAGAACUCAAACGUUCAUCAUUCAUUCAUAAUUAUACACUAAUAUGAACUGAAACGUGCUGGAUUAUCAAAGUUAUGCGCUAAUUUUAAACUCAAACAGUUCCUUAUUUAUUGACGAUCAUACACAAAUUCGAACUCCAACGUGCUGAUUCACUACAAUUAUAUGCUAAUCAAAAUCAAAAGUCUUCAUCCAUUCAUGAUUAUAAAGUAAUCAGACUAAAUGGUGUAGGAUUAUAACAAUUAAGCAAAUGAAGCAUUUACAGAAAGAAAGUUCACAAAGAGUACCUGAUUCCAUGAAGGGCAACCCGGCAAAGACCUUGAAUCCCGAAGGCGAAACUGAUUAUAUCAGUAAAUGUUAUAAAGUUAGCGAGGAAAUCAAUUUAAAUUAAGCAGGCCAUAAGAAGAUUGCAAAUUCCAGCUGACUUUGCGAAUUAAAAUGUUGAGCAGAAAAUAAAGCAUGAUCAAAAGGAUAACCAAAAGUACCUGAAAAUAAUUAAUAGCCUCUGUAAUUUAGCCCCAAUUCCCGGAACAUGUAGACGACGGCAGCGAGAGAAUAGAGACGCUAGAUAGCGUGAAGCUGUGAAUAUACGCAGUUAAGUGGCAGGCUGCUAGUUUCUUUCAUUAGUUUUCCUUAACAAAAUAUUUUUGGCUCUGUUUGGAUUGACUAUUUUGAGAAUAUUUUUGAAAUAUUUUACUACAACCGUGUAUCUAAAAAAUUGUUACGAUAAAUUUUUUUUGUAAUGUUUUUGAGGGAGUUUGAAAUAUAUUCUAAGAUACCUUUUAAAAUUAAAAUAUUUUUAAGAUGCCUUUUAAAAAUUAAUACUAUCACUCACAACUACCAAUACCACCUCCACCCACCAUCGCCACCACCCACUCCUUUCUCCUUUCUUUUCUCUUUCCCUCUUCCCCCUUCCCUCCCUCCCUCAAUCUAGCCGUGACCAAAGGCUGCGAUCUGGUCGCAGCCAGAAAGUUGUGACCUUCUAACAGCGACUAGAUUGCAGCCUCUAGUCGCAACCUAUGUUUUCAGAAAUCGAACCGGGUAUUGACUCGAUCAAAUUCAGGGGUCAGGGGUCAAUGGGUUCAAUCGGGUUCAAUAGGCGUUGAACCGGAUGACGUCAUAAAUAAAAAUUAUUUAAAAAUUAAAUAUUAUAUGUAAAAUACCUAAUAACAUGUUAAUAUUAAUAAAGGUAUAUUCAUAUAUAUUUGAUGUUUUAAAUAUAUUUAAUAAGAAAAUACAAAAAAAUUAGAACAAUCAAGUAACAAAUUAUAUUAUUUAAUGAGCAUUAACAAGUUUAGAAUUAGAAUUAUGGACUUUAAUUGAAAAAUAAUACCAAACUUUAAGAAAAUAUUGAUAAAGUAUGAAAUAUUUGAAAUAUUUUAAUAAUUUUUAACAAUCUAGGGAUCAAAACAUAAUGUUGAAAAAGUUUUAUUUUUUUUUUAAAUGUUAAUUGAACCAAAAAAUCCGAUUUUUUCCCGGUCAAACCCGAUUUUUUACCGGAUUUUUACUUACCCGAUUUUUAAGCAUAACUUGGACAGGACACUUGACCGGUUCCCGGUUCGAUCGAUCGAACCGGCCAGUCCGGUCCGAGUUUUAAAACACAUGCACUCGCAACCAGACGCCUUGAUCUGGUCUCGAGAAAUUGAGGAAGGAAGAAAUGGGAGGGGUGGCGGGAAAGGAGAGGGGAAGAGGAAGUGGGAAGGGAGAAGGGGUGGAGGAACAGGGAGAGAGAGAAGAAAGGAGGAGGGAGGGAAUAAGGGUAGUGGUGGUGGGCAGGGAUGGUGGCGGUAGUGGGCAGAGAUGGUGGCGGUGGUGGGUAGUGGUGAUGGGUGGAAAAUGUUAUAUAAUUUAUUUUUUAAAAUUUUUUGUGUAUAUUUUUGAGUUAUUUUUUAUAUAUUAUAUGGAUGAAAUGUUUUUGAAUUAUUUUUAUUUGUCUAUUAUUCUGGCAUUAUAUUUAAUAACCUCUUUUGAAAAAUAGAUUUUUGGAUUUUUAGUAGAAAAAAUAUACUAUAUUAAUUUGAUGUAUGUGAGAUAAAAAUAAGUAUUUGAAAAAUAUGAUCAUGAAAAAUAUAAAAAAAAAUUCUGCAAAAAAACUUCAAGGAAUUUCUGUAAAAAAAAAAAUCCAAAAUCCUAAUUUUUUUGACUUUUGUUUUUAGAAAAGGAAAAAGUGAAAUGAGUUGUACGAAAGCCAAAAAGCAAUUAAAUUGAUAACUUCUUUUCAUAUGAAUAUAUGAUGUUAAGUAUUUUAUUUACUCACAAAAACUAUAAUUUUGGUUUAAGAAAAGCAAUACCUAAUAAAAUUGUAAAAUGAGAACGGUAACAAAGAUUAUAGGGCCUGUUUGGAAGUCUAGUUUUUUAGCAAGUUUGUAUUAUACUAAAUUUUUAACAACUUUUGCUACAGGAACCCCAAAAACUUAUCAAAAUUUUUAACCUACACACUUAAAAUAUCUAAAACAAAAAAAAAAAUCCCUUCUCCUUUUCUUCUUCUUCCUCCCCCACCACCACCUCCAUCGCCGGCCACCACCUCCGCCGUCGGUUCCGGCGCCGAUCACCUCUUCUGGUGCCGGUCUUCUUUUUUUUUUUUUCCUUUUUCCCUCUCCCCCUCUUCCUCCCCUGCCAUCCUCCCCUCUAUCUUUUUUUUUCUCCCUGCGUCUCCCCUACUCCUCCCCCACCACCCUUCCUCUUCCCCUCUGGACGAUCUGGUCGCGAGACCAGAUCGCACCGGGGGAGGGGUGAGGGUGGCGGGGGAAGGGGCGAAGAGGGGGAGAAGGAAACUUGCCUAAAAAAAAAAUCAUUUCGCUGCUUCAUCUGCCGGCAAGAGCAAGGAGAGGAGAGGGAGAGGGAAAAUGUGAAAAAAGAAAGAAAUCAGGCAUAGUGAGAAGCGGGAAGGGGCAGAGGGGGUGGCGCGGGGAGGGGAGGAAAGGGAUGGUGGGCAGAGGGGGUGGCGAGGGAGGGAGUGGGAGGGGUGAUGGGCCAAGGGGAGUGGCGGGCAGAGGGGGAAGGAAAGGGAUGGUAGGCAGAGGGCAGUAGUGGGGGCAAGGGGAGGAAAAGGGUGGCAGGAGGGAGGGGGGAGAGGAGAAAAAAAAAGUUUGUAUGUGUUUGCAGAGGCAGUUUUGGAAGAGGGACCAGGAGAGGGGGAAGGGAGGAAGGAAAGAAAGAAAGAAAAAGAAAAAAGAAAAAGAAAGAAAGAAAAAGGAAAAGAUUUCAAAAAAAAAUUUUCAUCUUACAAAAGUUUUUUUACAACUUCUCUAGUGAUCUACAAUAAAGUUUUGUAUAAACACCCAAAAAACUCACCUUCCAAACAGACCCAUAGUCUAAAGUACUCGUUUGAUAGACUAGAGCAAUUUGGCGUUUCAUUGGUACGCUUCAAAUUAGGGAUGUCAACGGGGCGGGGUUGGGCCGGAGGACCCCUCUCCCAUCCCCCGCCCCACUGCCUACAAACUCCCCCCGUCCCCACCCCAUCCCCCGUCCCACGCUCCCCCCGUCCCGUCCUGUUUCCCCCGCGGGGCUAAUAAAAAUUUGUUAUAUAAUUUUAUUAUGAUUAAAUUUUAGCAAAUAAUCAAGUACUAAAAUAUCAACACAUCAUCAAAUUAUUAUUCAUUGUAAUUUUACAAUUGAAACUUAUAAAAACAAUCAAACAAAAAUUAUUUGAAUACAAUCCAACAUGAUGAAAUAAAUAUAACUAAAGUAAUCAAGUUUUCACUUUUGGCACAAAUACAAUCACUAAAUCAUUAUUGUACUUGUGCUUUUUUUAAGAAAAAAAUGUUAUUGUAUUAAGUGUAAUUAGGGAUUUAGUAUAAAUGUAUUAGUAAAUUUAGUAUAACCAAUUAAUAAUUCGUAUUAGUACACAUAUAUAAUUAUUAGUAUAAUUAAUAAUAUCAAUUAUAUUAUAUAUACUAAUAGACAUCAUAUAAUACAUAUAACUAAUAAUAUUAUUAUCAUAAGUUUGUAACUAAUUAAAUUAUAUAUUAUAUAUAAUUAUAUACAUAUAUUUUAUAUAUUUAUUUUUUUAAAGCGGGUGGCGGGGUGGGGGAUGGGGCGGGGAUACACUCCCCCGCCCCGUUUCUAAGCGGGGGGGGGAGGGGAAAUUCUCCCCACCGGCCCACCCCCCUUCCCAACCCCCUCCCCAUUAGCCCCCAUGGGGCGGGUGCCCGUAACCCACCCUCAUUGCCAUCCCUACUUCAAAUGCACACUAUCAAGCAGGUAUCUGGACGCUUGGCUAUGCAACUUGAACAAUCAUCACAUGUAGAGCUGACUUUAUUCUAGUAUUUUAUAUGAAAAUAUGUACUCAAUUAGCUUGAAGUGAAUUAAAUCAUGAUUGUCAGCAUUUUAAACUUUUGAUUGUGAAGGCCUUAAUUGUUUGACAACUCCCAUGAUUAUUUUGGCUAAACUACUCAAGUCGCCUCGUUAUACUUUAAAAAAAAAUCUCAAUUCAAUCUUUAACACUAAGAAGUGACUUGAUUUAAUCCCUUGGAAAUAACUCAUGUCAUUUUUAUAUUGAAUUAGUAGACAAAAGAUUUAAUCGUGCAUUUCCAAUAUAACGGGGUCUAUGUGUUAUACUAACGAUAUAUUGUUGUCAUCGUCAGAUCAGACUAUGUGCUAAGUUUUUGAAUUCCAAUUCUUUCAGCCAAGGUGAUGUCCAAACAACAAAAAAUUCUUAAAGGCUUGACAGUGGCCAUCAGCCUUUAAGACUUGGUGGGGUGGAAAACAAGGGUUCAAACCUUACCUUUCACGAAUUGUCAGAUUAAAAUGUGAAUUUGCUUCAAAAAAUCUAGGCAGGUGCGUAGUGUACUUGUUUGGUCUGAUGGUGGUUCAACGUGAAUUUACUUCAAAAUAUUCAGGCGGGUGCGUAGUGCACCCAUUUGGUCCGAUAAUAGUUCAGUUCCCUCCGAAUUACCCCUGGAUCUCCUUAGAUCCACCCCUUCCCAAGUGUAGGAUAGAUUAGGAUAUACUACAGUUGUUGUCUCCAGAAAAAAAAAAUAAAAUAUCUUAAAAGACAUCUAAUAAAGAGAUUACCAAGUACCCAUGUUAUUGUUUAAACAAUAUUAGAAGUAUGUUUUCAUAAACAGCAUUUUAUUUGGGUUGAAAUCAAAUCAACACAUAUAUGCUUUUUAACAUUGAUUUGGUCUGAAACCAAACAUCUUGUUGGCAAGGUCGUAAGUAACCUGAAACCCCUGCUGCUGCGUGUUGCCGAUUAUUGAGACACUUUGAGAAGUGGUCUUAAAAGCCAAACAGAACGUGCCGCCGGAACCAGCACGAAACAGGUAAUUUUGAGGUUUCAGCGGCAACGUCUUGCCUCCGAAGAACUGAAACGAUAUCAUUGGGAAGCCAUCUCUGGUGGGCAUAGAGGAUAGAUCAUAACAAGUGUCGAGAUCACCGACCGCACCGGCGGGAGGCAAGUUUUUAGCGUACUUAACAAAGGUGUCUCGGACCGAGUUAUAUACCUGAGCUGGCAACGCCGAUAUGGUGGUACCCGAGUCAACGAUGAUCCCCCCACGCCUAUCUUCUCCUAUUUGAUAAUCCGAUGCAGGAAUGGGCAUUUGUUCUCCAUUAAUAGUGAUCCCCGUGAGUUCCACGUAGUAAUAAAUCUCAGAUUUUAGGUUCAUAAUCAAAGGAAUGAGGAUUGAGUCACCGGGUGGAGCUGAGUUAAACUCAAGAGUUGAGGACGAGCUGGAGUCCAAAUCCACGAGGUAGUAGGAGAAAGACUUCGCUUGAAUUUGAGAAGGAAUGCCUACUGCAGUGCCCCCAAGGCCAAGUAUGCCAGCUGCCUUGCCAAAUCGGCCUUGAUUCUCAUGCCCGCACCCGAUAGCCACUUUCUGGACCGAACCCGAACUCCCGAACGACACCGUUUCAGUGGCAAAUUCUCCAAUACUGGCGGAAUUAUCCCAGUACAACGCUUCAUAGAUGCAAGCUUUGUUUCGGCCGCACUUGUAAUUCGGGCUCAAGGAGGUGCACUGCUGCGAUGUGCAGGAUAAAGGGCUGUAAGAUGAGGAUCCGGUGGGUCGAAGAUUGGAUCGGGUUGGGCGUAGCAUGAAUCGCAGGGUAGGUGUGGUGGGCUCCAGGAGCACAUCGGUCAGGUCCACACACACGUCGGUCCGGCCCAAGAGCUCGGACAGGAGGAGCUGGGCUAGGGCGCCAUGUCGGCUCACAGGUCCAUACGAGCGCCGCCCCUCAAGCUGAUGGGCCUGAUGGGCCGCGAGGUCCGCGCCUUCAAGACCAUGUCAUGGAGCCCUAGGAGCCGUUUUCCUCCCCUGUAAGGACUCCUUGUCCUACCAGGAAACUACCACCUUGCGUUCUAUAAAUACCAUGCCAAGAAGAAACAUAAGGUACGCUAUUCAUAGUGCAAUCUCUACUCUUUUUACUUACGAGCUCGUUCUGACUUGAUCGUCGGAGUUGCUCCAGGGGACUUAGCCCCACAGCUCGUUCACGUGCAGGUCAGACGUCCAAACAGCUCGUCCUGCCGAACCCAGCUCAGUUCGGAUCUUCACUUCGGCAGUCGCAUCAAUUGGCGCCGUCUGUGGGAAACGUUUUCUUCUCUUUUUUCGCGAACAACAUGCCGAAGACUAGGUCUCAGAGGAAUGUGGAUGGUACUGAGGGGGGCGCUCAGGGCGGCCCCCAACCAGUUCACCAGGAAGCCAACACAGGGGAGGCAAGGGUCGAGCUCUCGCAGAUCUCGCCGGAACAACUGGUGCAGUCGGUGGCCGCGAACUUGCCUACCUUUGAGGCUAUUGUGACGUACCUGAAGGGACAAUCUGGACAAUCCGGUGCGGUGAAGGGACAAUCUGGAGUCCCUCCCAGUGCGGAGCGUCGGGUGCGAAAAACGGGCAGAACAGGGAGUUCGGAAUCUCGAUCUGGAAGCCCCAGGUCGAAGAGGGCGCGGAGGGAGAUUACACGCGAGCAGGUCCAGGUGCCAGAGCCCUCUCACAAGAAUUCCCGAACUAGCCAUCCGGAGCCCGUUCUGAGGCCUUCUCGGAUGGAGAUCCCUCACAGGAAGGAGGAUUACCAGGUCCAGGAUGAACUGGACCUCCUGCUGGAUCCGGAGGCGGAUAGGUACACUGCCUCUCCCUUCAUACCUGAUAUCGAGGAUUACCCUCUGCCUGCCAAGUUCAAAAUACCAUCCAUGAAGUCCUACGACGCGACCACUGAUCCGGAGGAUCACUUGUUCGCGUUCCUGACUCAGAUGCGCCUUCAGACAGCUGCUGAUGCGGUCAGGUGCAAGACCUUUUCGAUGUUCUUGGAAGGAAAGGCCCGACAAUGGUUUCAGGGCCUGCCUCCUAGGUCAGUUCGGUCGUUCAGCCAGCUCGCGCGGCUGUUCGCGGCCCAGUUCGUUUCCUCCCGCGCUUAUUCCAAAACCACGGCUCAUCUGAUGACUGUUCAUCAGGGGCCCGAGGAGUCAUUGCGUGAGUAUAUGGUACGGUUUAACAACGAAUCCCUUCAGGUGCGGGACCGAGAUGACAAGGUGGUGAUGGCUGCCUUCGUCAACGGGUUGCGCAAGCAGAAGUUGUAUACGGAAUUCGUAGAAAGACCUCCCAAGUCCGUCCGGGAGAUGCUAGAUCGAGCCCACGAGAAGGCGAACGCCGAGGAGGCCAACCGUCUGAAGGGCGCCCAGGAAAGGUUGCGGGAUGACAAGCGGAGGAAGGGUGCCGACCCGGGAGAGUCACGGCCAGGUCAGGACCGAAAGGGCGUAUCCGAGCGCUUACCUCGGAGCCGACCUUGGGAGAAGGAAAAGUCCUGGACUUCGCUCACCGCGCCCAGGGCUCGGGUUCUGGCCGUGAUGGAACAGCAAGGGAUUUCUCGUCCUCCUCGGCCGCUGGGGGGCGACAAGACCCAGCGAGAUCAAGGUUUGUAUUGUGCUUACCACAGUUAUGUCGGACACGAUACUGAGGACUGUCGACACCUUAAGAAGGAGAUCGAAAAACUGAUACGAAGAGGUCAUCUCGGACAGUUCGUCCGUGACGGGCGAACGGACCAGAAGCCGGGAGGGUACAAGCGAGAUCGGACGGCCAGUUCGCACGACCGACCUCGAGGUCCUAGUGAUCGUACUCCGGAGCAGGGGGUUCAGAACCUAGCUGGAGUAAUCAACACUAUUGCAGGGGGACCUGCUGGAGGAGAUAGCCACACGGCUCGACGAAAUAACCGACCUCCCCCUAGCGGAGAAAGCUCGAGCAAACGUUUGAAGAUGUACGAGAAAAUCAUCUACGGGCCAGAGGACGCGGUACCCUUAGCCUCUAAUAAUCAUGAGGCGAUCGUGGUAGAAGUUAUCACGUGCAACUAUAAGGUAAAGAAGGUGUACAUCGAUAAUGGGAGUGCCAUCGAUGUGCUGUAUUACAAAACCUUCAAGGAAUUGCAGCUAGAAGACAAGCAGCUCAUCCCAGUUCGGACCCCCUUGAUAGGUUUUGCAGGGCCGCCGGUUAGACCAGAGGGAAUGAUAACCCUCAUGGUCACGGUAGGGGAGUCACCGAAGUGCCGAACUAUCCCGGUGAAUUUCGCGGUAGUGAAGGAGCCGUCUUCUUACAAUAUGAUACUAGGGCGAUCAACCCUCAACGCUCUCCGAGCUGUCUGCUCGACCCUACACCUUAGUAUGAAAUUCCCGACGCCUGAGGGGGUGGCCGAGGUGUUGGGGGACCCGGAGGUAGCUCGAGCCUGUUACAUUGCAACCCUCAAAGGUAAAGAGAAACUGGUGGCCCAAAUGACCUGUCUGGAGCCCUGGGAGCCUGCUGAAAAGGAGGAAAGGUUGGAGACGGAUGAGAGUCUGAUCGAAUUGUCGAUCUACCCCGAGCGAACUGAUCGCGUGGUAAAAACCGGAGCUGGUCUGAGCGAGCUGACACGGAGAGCUCUGGAGUCUUUGCUGGAGGAAUAUGCCGAGAUUUUCGCAUGGAGUGCUGACGACAUGCCCGGAGUCCCUCCCGAGCUGGCAGUUCACAAGUUGCACGUUGACCCAAACAUCCGGCUAGUGAAGCAAAAGAAGAGGAACUUCGCUCCUGAGCGCAACGAGGUCGUCAAGGAAGAGGUAGGAAAGUUGUUGGAGGCCAAAAUUGUGAAGGAGAUCUACUAUCCGACCUGGCUGGCCAACCCUGUGCUGAUCAAAAAGGAGGACAGGGCCUGGAGGAUGUGCGUAGAUUUCACCGACCUGAACAAGGCCUGUCCGAAGGAUUGUUACCCCCUCCCUCGCAUCGACCAGCUAGUCGACUCGACCACUGGAUACGAGAUCUUCUGCUUUCUGGAUGCCUUCAAGGGGUAUCACCAGAUAGCUCUGGACGAGGCCGACCAGGAGAAGACUGCCUUCAUCACCGAAUACGGUACGUAUUGUUAUAUCACUAUGCCAUUUGGAUUAAAAAAUGCAGGCGCGACCUAUCAACGGCUGGUCAACAAGCUGUUUAAAAACCAGAUCGGCCGAAAUAUGGAGGUGUACGUAGAUGACAUGCUGGUGAAAAGCCGAACUCAGGAGCAGUUCAUCAACGACCUAAGAGAAAUCUUUGACGUCCUGCGGAGCUCGCGGAUGCGGCUGAACCCCAAGAAGUGCACCUUCGGGGUUAGGUCGGGCAAGUUCCUGGGGUACAUGAUAUCCAAGGACGGGGUAAGAGCUAAUCCCGACAAGGUGAAAGCUAUCAUGGACAUGGCUCCUCCCCGAAACGUAAAAGAGGUCCAGCGGCUAGCUGGCAGGAUGGCGGCCCUGAACAGGUUCCUGUCGAAGUCAGCCGUUCGGGGUUCCCCCUUCUUCAGGGCCCUGCGAAGAGGUCCCCAGUUCGAAUGGACUCCCGAGUGCCAGCGCGCGUUUGACGAACUCAAAACCCACAUCGCACGCUUGCCAGCUUUGACUUCUCCCGCACAAGGAGAAGUCUUAUUCAUCUAUCUAGCAGUUGGGGAGGAGGCGAUCAGUGCGGUACUAGUUCGGGAAGAAGGUAAAAUCCAAAAACCCAUAUACUAUGUCAGUCGAGCUUUGCAGGGGGCGGAGCAAAGGUACACCUCAAUUGAGCGGUAUAUUCUAGCAUUGGUGCACGCGACCCGGAAGCUCAGGUCGUACUUGCAAACUCACCCCGUGGUGGUCAUGACCGACCAACCUCUCAAGCAAAUUCUCUCAAAGCCUGAGGCAUCAGGAAGAAUGGUAAGGUGGGCCGUGGAGCUGUCUGCAUACGAUCUCAGCUACCAACCCCGCACGGCCAUUAAGGCUCAAGCAUUGGCGGAGUUCAUAGCCGAAGGAAUCUCCUUUGGGCAAGAGCAGUUGCAAGCCGAGCUAACCAGCGGCGCAGUCAAGGCUGUGCAGGCCAGAGGAACUGUCGAGGUCGCGCAGGCCGCCGAGACCAAGUCGACCCAAGACGUAGCUGAGGCCAAGCAGGUCGGAGAAGCUGCCGAGGUCGUGAAAGGCACUCAGACUUCCAUGGCUGAACAGACCAUAGGCGCAGUCGAGGCCAAGCAGGCCGAGGGACCCACCGGGGUCGGACAGGCCGCAAAGGAAGCCAAGGCCGAACAGGUUAAAGAGGCUGUUGAGGCUGAACAGGCCACAAAGGAAGCCAAGGCCGAACAGGUCAAAGAGGCUGUCGAGGCUGAACAGGCCACGGGCCAGGCCGAUCAGACCAUCCCGACCUGGACACUGUUCGUGGAUGGAUCUUCAAGCAAGGACGGAUGCGGAGCGGGACUUUUCCUGACCAGCCCCUUGGGGGAUGAGUUGGCCUACGCCCUGAGAUUCGAUUUCAGAGCCUCCAACAAUGAGUCCGAAUAUGAGACUCUGAUCGCGGGGAUGAUGAUAGCCCGGAAGCUGGGGGCUGAGUCAAUAGAAGUCUACAGCGACUCACAGCUGAUAGUCAACCAGGUCGGGGGAAGUUACGAAGUUAAAGAGGAGCCCUUGAGGAGGUACGUUGCCAAAGUACGGGAGCUGGAAGCUCAGUUCAAAUUUUUCACGCUCAAGCAGGUGCCGCGAAGCCAAAAUAAGAGGGCGGAUGCACUGUCCAAACUAGCCUCCACCUCGGUCGGCACGUUGAACAAAGAGGUCUUGGUUGAGGUCGUUCGAAGUCGGGCGUAUGACCAGGUAGAUGCGGCGGUCAUCCAAGUAAUAAGCUCGUGGAUGGAUCCCAUCGUGCGAUACCUAGCUAAUGGGGAGCUCCCUCCAAACCGGGUGGAGGCACGUAGGGUCCUCCUCAAGUCGCAGGUGUACGAGCUCUCGAAUGGGGUGCUCUACAAGAAAUCCUACUUACGUCCGUGGCUGCGGUGCAUUACUCCAGAGGAGGGAAACUACAUCCUGCGUGAGCUGCAUGAGGGAAUCUGCGGAAACCACGUCGGUCCAAGAGUUUUGGCCAAGAAAGGAAUGCUGUUUGGGUAUUACUGGCCUACCAUCUUCGUGGACUCCGCCGAACUGGUAGCUCGGUGUAGGUCCUGCCAGCUGCAUGCGCCGAUCCAUCACGCCCCGACUCAAGAGAUGAUCCCUCUCCAGAGUCCUUGGCCUUUCUUUCAAUGGGGAAUUGACCUGCUGGGCCUUUUUCCCCGAGCUCCUGGGGGUUACGAGCACGUGGUGGUAGCGGUAGAUUACUUCACCAAGUGGGUGGAGGCCGAGCCACUUACCACCGUUAGCAGCAGGUCGAUACAGAAGUUCCUUUGGAAAAACAUCGUCUGCCGAUUUGGUAUACCCCGUGCCCUGGUAUCGGACAACGGGCGCCAGUUCGCUGACAGCGCCCUCCAAGGUUGGUGCUCGGAGCUCGGAAUCCGUCAGCACUUCACCUCGGUAGGUCACCCUCAAGCCAACUGGCAGGUCGAAAAUGUCAACAGGACCAUCCUGCACGGUUUGAAGACACGGAUAGAGUUCGCCCGAACUGGGUGGCUGGACGAGCUGCCUACCAUACUGUGGGCUUACCGAACUACGCCCCGAACCGCUACCCAGGAGACUCCCUUUGCUCUAACCUAUGGAGUAGAGGCGGUGAUUCCUGCGGAGAUAGGUGUCCCUUCGGGCAGGGUUCAGAACUUCAUAGCUCGGGACAAUGAGGAUGAACUGCGCCUUAACCUGGAUCUGCUGGAGGGAAGAAGAGAGGAGGCGGCCAUACGCAUGGCUAAGUACAAAGGGCAGAUCGCGCGGCACUACAAUGCCUGGGUGAGGCCUCUCUCCUUCAAGCCGGGAGACCUAGUCUUGCGGAAAAAUAGCGUGAGCCGACUUCAGGGCACGGGCAAGCUGGGCCCGAAUUGGGAGGGUCCCUAUGUGGUGAAAGAAGCAGACCGAGCUGGAUAUUGCAGGUUAGCUCACCUCAGCGGGGAAGAGGUCCCGCGUACCUGGCAUAACUCCAAUUUGAGGAUCUUCCGGUAGGAAGACAGCUCGCGCAUUACCAGUUCAUUCCAAGGUCGAGAUCUUUCGUUAUUAUUUGAUGUACUUGGCUAAUAAGUUACUUUGUCUUAGAAAGUAAGCUCCUUUAGGUCGACAUAGGGCCGAACUGAUGUACUCUGCGAUGAUCUUUGCAAAUAAGACUAAGUAUGAAACAAAGGAAUGGCUUCUUCAUUUCAUUAAAUAAACUUUACAAGAAGGUGCCCGGCUCAUACAAAAGGAAUUAAAUAAAGACGGAGCUGAGCUCAUACAAAACGAGCUGUCUACUGACAGUUCGGGUUCCAGGACCCUACUCUAGUUCUCGCCCUCUUCCUCCUCUUGCUCAGACUCGGGGGUGGUCACUGGCAGUAGAGGGUCAGCAACCAGGUCGGCCAGCCUCCGCCCAUGCGUGUAGCCCUCCACCAGGCGAUCGAGCUGUUCCACGGCCAGAGGAUUGUAGCUGGGGAACUUGCUCAAGUCAAACCCAGGCAGACCCAGCCUUUGCACUUCAUCCAGGGCUUGAGAAUACCCGUGAUGCAGGACGGGAGUAUUCAGGAUGGCCAGGUCGCCCCUAAAAUCCUCCGACCUGAGGAAGGCCCGCACGCCCUCUUGGGCUCCCUCAGUCCUAGCCGCCUCGACCUGGGUAGACAGCUCGGCGCUUCUCUUCUGCUCCUCGUUCAGCUGAGAGGUCAGAUCGGAGUUCUUCUUUAGCUCCAGUUCGAAGUUGGAAUGGGCUUGGGCGAGCUGCUUCCUCAGACCUUCAGCUUCGGCCACAGCUGCUUCGUUUUGGCUGAGCAGUCUCUCGUUGGCCGCCCUCGUCUCGCUCAUCAGGGGGAGGAGGCUCUCGUAGCGCUUGGCCAGUUCGGCCCCAACCAAGUGCACCUGGGCUGCGCCUGUAUAGUAGUAGUCGAGAAGGUCGGAUGCCUCCAUGGCCUUAACCAAGCUGAGGUCCCUUGGAAGGAUGGCCCCAUGAGCAAGCUCCCUGGCCACCUCGGGGAAUUGAGCUCGGUCGUUUAGGGAGAGCUUCCACUGGGGACAGAAGUGCAUGGGAUGUUGGUGCGUGAUCAGCCGCGUUUGCGGGUCGAACAGCAAGGUGGAGCUCUGGCGCUGCCACAAGUUGGGAGGAGCGUCAGCACGGGCUUGCUCCUCGGCGGUAUUCACGCCGUAGUGGCCGCCUUGACCAGGUUCGGGCGUCGACCUCUCUUCCUGAACUGGGGAGGAGGUCGCCUCUACUCUAGCCCUCUUUGCAGUUGUCUUCUUCUUCUUCUUCUUCCCCGCAUCGACAGCCUUGGCGGAUUGAGCAGGAGCCGGCUGGGGCGUCGGACCUGGUGCCGAACUGGUUGGAAGGGCUGAGGAAGGCUGGGUGGUGGCGCCUGGAUUGCUGGCUCCUCCGAUGGUUAGGAGAGAAGAAAACCUCUUCACUGCAGGAAAACCGGACCAGAAGGUCAGGAGAUGCAUAAAUAAAAAAAGAAGAAGAAGAAAGAACAGGAAGGCCAGGUCGUUUACAGGAGGUCAGCUCGUCUGGUGAGAGCGGCCUAUUCUCUGGCGAGGGAUCUGAGGGGUUAGCUCGGAUCAACCCCGCCGCCCAAAGCAGGGCACUGCUGAACUCUUUCACCUCCAGCUUUUCGUCUGAGCUGAGUAGGCGGCUGAGCUCGGCUACAGGACCGGGUCUGGAAGUGGAUCCGAAACCUGAGUCUCCGCCCUCCAGGUCAGAGGGGGAAAGCCCAGGUUCUUUACAAAGAAGAAGUAACGCUUCCAGUCUUUGAUAGAGGAAGGUGCCCCCGUGAACAGCUCGCGGGUGGGGGUUUUCGCUCCACUUCGGCGGGCAAAAUAGAACCACCCAGGCACCUUCCCGCUAACCUUCAUCUGGAAGAAGGCUUGGAACAGGUCAUGAGAGAAAGGGAUUUCCAGUGCUCGGCAGAGAAUGAAAAAGCCUAUGAUGGAGCGAACUCCAUUGGGGAUGACCUGAGUUAUACGGAUACCCCAGAAGGUGAGAAUGAAGAAGAAGAAGUUGGGAAUAGGCAGGCGAAGACCAGCCAUCAGCUGGUCCCUGUAAAUCGCCACGAAGCCGGGGGGAGGUCGCCAGGCGACCUCCCCUGGUUGGGCAGCCCUAGGUUCGAACUGGGAUGGAAUUUCAUAUUUCUCGGCCAGCCCGUCAACAUCUUUCUGUCCCAGGGCUGGGGGAAUAGUGUCGACCUCUCCAAAGUCGCCACUAGGUCCUCCCGAGGUCCCUACGGCCAUCUGAGUUGGAGCCGCCUGUUCUGCAGCCCCAACCAGAGGCUGGGCAGUUUGUUCGGCUGGGCUCAUUAUUUGGACGGGGGAUUGGAUGGGAGGAGACGUGGACACUGACCCAGAGAAAGUGGAAGGAGAAGAGCUUAAAGGGUCGGGAGAGGGGCUAUCUAGGAGUAUGGGGCUAGCUGCUCUGUGCCUAGGGGCCGAACUGGUGACGUCAGAACUAUCAGAGCUAUAAGAAGACAUAAAAAGGAAAAGGAAACUUACUGAUGGAAGGAGAUCGGAUGAAAAGCUGAUCUAGGGAGGGCGCGAACUGGCUCUGGGCUCCUAAGGAAGGUCGACCCGAUGUGUUCUGAAAGAAAAAAGUGUGGAGUAGCGAGCUAAGGGUGAAAGGAGCGAACUGAUAGAGUGAAGAAGGAGGAGUGAAAAUGACGCCCAGGAGUCCUAUUUAUAGGCAAUUUUACGGGGCGGGAAACUGAAGAGACGUGCAUUUAUUUGAGCCGAUUAUGGGGAACCGUUCCUGACCGUUGCAGCUGGCAGGCGUGAUGAUCGAGAUUAUGGACGCGAACCGACGCGGCGGUUGCGUGCUCCACUUACGGACGAGGGCCCCACACCGAGCUGCCACGACGCACGAUCGAGAUGAUUGACAUGAACCGACGCGACGGUUGCGUGCGCUACUUACAGGCGUGGACCCCACACUGAACCGACACGAUGCCAAGAAGACGGCUAGACUCACGCGCACGUUCGAUGACUCUAGACUAAAGGGGGGGCUAGUGUGGUGGGCUCCAGGAGCACAUCGGUCAGGUCCACACACACGUCGGUCCGGCCCAAGAGCUCGGACAGGAGGAGCUGGACUAGGGCGCCAUGUCGGCUCACAGGUCCAUACGAGCGCCGCCCCUCAAGCUGAUGGGCCUGAUGGGCCGCGAGGUCCGCGCCUUCAAGACCAUGUCAUGGAGCCCUAGGAGCCGUUUUCCUCCCCUGUAGGGACUCCUUGUCCUACCAGGAAACUACCACCUUGCGUUCUAUAAAUACCAGGCCAAGAAGAAACAUAAGGUACGCUAUUCAUAGUGCAAUCUCUACUCUUUUUACUUACGAGCUCGUUCUGACUUGAUCGUCGGAGUUGCUCCAGGGGACUUAGCCCCACAGCUCGUUCACGUGCAGGUCAGACGUCCAAACAGCUCGUCCUGCCGAACCCAGCUCAGUUCGGAUCUUCACUUCGGCAGUCGCAUCAAAGGUGUCUCGGACCUGGUGUCUCGGAUCUUCACUUCGGAUCUUCACUUCGGCUCAGCUCAGUUUUUAGCGUACUUAACAAAGGUGUCUCGGACCGAGUUAUAUACCUGAGCUGGCAACGCCGAUAUGGUGGUACCCGAGUCAACGAUGAUCCCCCCACGCCUAUCUUCUCCUAUUUGAUAAUCCGAUGCAGGAAUGGGCAUUUGUUCUCCAUUAAUAGUGAUCCCCGUGAGUUCCACGUAGUAAUAAAUCUCAGAUUUUAGGUUCAUAAUCAAAGGAAUGAGGAUUGAGUCACCGGGUGGAGCUGAGUUAAACUCAAGAGUUGAGGACGAGCUGGAGUCCAAAUCCACGAGGUAGUAGGAGAAAGACUUCGCUUGAAUUUGAGAAGGAAUGCCUACUGCAGUGCCCCCAAGGCCAAGUAUGCCAGCUGCCUUGCCAAAUCGGCCUUGAUUCUCAUGCCCGCACCCGAUAGCCACUUUCUGGACCGAACCCGAACUCCCGAACGACACCGUUUCAGUGGCAAAUUCUCCAAUACUGACGGAAUUAUCCCAGUACAACGCUUCAUAGAUGCAAGCUUUGUUUCGGCCGCACUUGUAAUUCGGGCUCAAGGAGGUGCACUGCUGCGAUGUGCAGGAUAAAGGGCUGUAAGAUGAGGAUCCGGUGGGUCGAAGAUUGGAUUGGGUUGGGCGUAGCAUGAAUCGCAGGGUAGGCAUUGGAGCCAGUUGAUUUGGCUACCCGUAUCCGCUAUCAGGUAGUAUUCUUUCACGGGUUGGCCCACUCCGACGCGAGCUACGUACCCUCCGCCAGAUGGAGUCAGCGGAGCUUCGAGGUCCUCCGGUUGGACUUGGAUGUCGGGUUUGACGUCAUGAGGGCGGUUGAAGGCGGAGAGAGCCCGCUCAAUGUUGGAGUUGAUGAGCUCGGCUCGGGCACGGUCACUUGCGAGCCGGGAGAGUACGAGGUCGGAGUAGCUGUCGUAUGGCGGCUUUAUGACGGAUGAAUGAGGAUGCAGGGAGAGGGACAAAACGGAGGAGGUGGAGGUGGGCUGAGUUUCUUCUGUUGACAAGAGUCGAAGUCUCUUGAAAACUGAAGCAGACACCACUUGAGGUGAAAAAGGACUGAGGGUGAAGGAGAAGAAGAAGAAGAUGAUGAUGAAGAUGUUAAUGGAAGGAAAUGGGCUUGGAGCUUUUCGAGCCAUGUAAAUGUUUGUGGUUUUUGCCGCAGCAGACAACAAACAAAGAAGACAAGUGAUGAGAAGUUUGGGAGAUGAGCAUGGGUUUAUUAUAUACACGUACGUCGAUCUGCAUGCAGGGCAUCAGUAGCGUAUUACUAUUAUUUAUUAAAGGUACAUAUCACAAAGGUCCAGGGGCGGAUUUAAAGGGGGGCACUGGGGGCACGGUCCCCCACUGCCCCCUUAAAUUCCUAUAAUACUCUUAUAAUUUUGACAUAAUUUUAGUGGUGUCUCUAGAAUUUUUUUUAAAAAAAAUAUAAAAGAAUGGGUCAUAAAAUUUAUAUCAUUCACUUUCCUCCUUUAAGAACCAAAUACCAAUUAUAUCAGUCAUUACUUUUGGUCCCCACUCCCCAAGUUCCCUUUACUCCUGUGGUCCCCUAUUUCACUUCACAACCCACGACUCCUCUUCUUCUGCACCCAACUAACUACUCUUUCUUUUUAUUACUUCAUCCAAUCAUCAUUAAUCAUUUACUUCCUUUGUCCCCCACUCUCCAAUUUUUCUUUGCUCUUCUGGCUCUUAGUUGUCCCCACUGAAAAUGGUCUCUCCCAUCAAAUAGUCCAAUCCUGGUUUUCCUGUCAUGAAAAUGGUGUUGUUGACUUCUUCACGCAGUCACGCAGUGUUCCAUUAAAGGAGUAAGCUUUUUGAAAACCAGGACCUGCUUUCUUCAGUUCAACUGCAAGAAACCAGUCCUUGAAGCUGACUUCUUUCCAAUUAAAUAACGUGAUACGGGGCACAAAGGAAGUAAAGGGACCUAGUCCGCCACUGAUUUGCAACUCUUUUCACCAAUUUUGGGAGACCAUCAAAAUUAGGUUCUAAACAAUUACUUCUUGUUAUUAUUUUAAAUUUGUUUGCAAAUAUAUUUCUAGAGCAUGAGACUAUUACUAUUUUAGAGAAAUUUGAAAAUUGAUUAGUUAAUGUAAUAACUAAUAAAUGGGUUAUUUGAUAAAUAUUUUAACUUGUGAAAUGGUGAUUUUAUAGAUUUAUAAUUUAUAAUUUAUUUUCCUUGAUUAGUUUCUUAUUUGGAGUUAAUGUAAUGAUGAAUAGAGGGCCAUUUGACAUAUAUUUUAACUUUUAAAUUAUUCUUGUAUGGAUCCUUUUGUCUAAUUAAAUUGAUUAGGUUCAUAUAUUGUGAUUAAUGAUUUGAUAUAGUAAUAAAUAAAUAAGUUGUGAUUUGAUAUAGUAAUGAUAUGUUGUGAUUAAUGAUUUAAUAAAUAACUUUAACUUGUAAAAUAGUUCUUGGAUAGAUUAUUAGAUUUUAUUGUACAUUUAAUAUUUUAAUUGGAUUAGUAUCUUAUAUAUUGAUUUUGAUUUCUUUAGCUAUGGAGAGAUAUUUCAAGAGGAAAUCAAUGGAAAAAGAGUCAUCUAAUAAAGAAGAAGCCAAGGAUAAUGAAAGUGCAAAAAAUGACAAUAAAAGAAGUUACUUGGAAAUUAACUUAGAUGAAUUACCUGCGGAUCCAGCCCAAAGAAAAAAAAUUGGGGAUUAUCAUCCAAACCUUCAAGAUGAAAUUCGGAGAUAUUGCUUACAAAAGGGACCAUGUCAACCUCAUGAGCAUGUUUUUCCACAAAGAAAGAUAGGAAAAAAGAUGCGUCGAUUUGUUCGGGGCUGGUUUGAUGAUUACAAGAAUUGGUUAGAAUAUAGUAUUGAAAAAGAUGCCGCUUAUUGCUUAUGUUGUUAUCUAUAUAGACCAGAUGUGGGUGAACAAUCUGGUGGUGAUAGUUUCAUUAAGGAAGGAUUCACAAAUUGGAAAAAAAAAGGAUAGAUUUGAUGUUCAUGUUGGUGGUCCUAAUAGUGCACACAAUCUGAGUUGGAGUAAAUGUCAAAGUUUAUUAAAUCAAAAUCAGCAUAUCGAAGUGGCAUUUUUUAAGCAAUCACAGAAAAUGAAGGCUGAGUAUCGGACUCGUUUAUUAGCCUCAAUAGAUUGUGCUAGAUUUCUCCUACAUCAAGGUUUGGCUUUUCGUGGUCAUGAUGAAUCUGAUACCUCUGAAAAUCAGGGAAAUUUUCUUGAACUUUUGCACUUCCUUACGGGUCAUAAUGAUGAUAUAAAGAAGGUUGUUCUUGAAAAUGCCCCUAAAAAUCUCAAACUCAUUGCUCCAGAUAUUCAAAAGGAUAUUUCAAAUGUUUUGGCGAGUGAGACUACAAUCAUUAUUGUAAAUGACAUUGGACAUGGAUUGUUUGCUAUUUUAUGUGAUGAAUCUCGUGAUGCAUCAACAAAGGAGUAAUUAGCAGUUGUUAUCCGUUACAUGGAUUCACAUGGAUAUGUGAUUGAGCGUUUUCUUGGUAUUCUACAUGUAAGAGAUACUACUGCUCUUUCACUUAAGAAAGCAAUUGAUGAUUUAUUUUCAAAGCAUGGUUUGAGCAUAUCACAAAUCCGUGGUCAAGGUUAUGAUGGUGCUAGUAACAUGCGAGGUGAAUAUAAUGGUUUAAAAACUUUGAUCAUGAAGGAAAAUGGUUCUGCAUAUUAUAUUCAUUGUUUUGCACAUCAGCUGCAAUUCUCACUUGUAAGGGUUGCAAAGAAACAUGUCCAAGUCUCUUCUAUGUAUAAUACAUUGUCUACCUUAGUGCAUGUUCUUGAAGGUUCAUCUAAAAGACAAGAAAUUCUUAGAGAACAACGCCUUAAGAAAGUCGUUGAUGAUCUAAUGACUGGAGAUCUUGUGAGUGGUCGGGGCUUAAAUCAAGAAACUAGCCUUCAAAGAGCUUGUGAUACACGUUGGGGUUCACAUUUUGGCUCGUUAUUAAAGUUGGUUCUUAUGUAUGAUUCUGUAAUAGAUGUUCUUUUGAUAAUUGAAAAUGAUGGCCUGGUGGAGCAAAGAGGUCAAGCAUAUGCACUUCUUAAUUCUUUGCAAUCUUUUGAAUUUGCAUUUAUUUUACACUUGAUGAAGAAAAUCAUGGGAAUAACGAAUGUACUAUCUGAAGCAUUACAAAGGAAGGAUCAAGAUAUUGUGAAUGCUAUGGGUCUGGUCAAAGUUUCUAAGCAACAGUUACAAGCUACUAGGGAAGAUGGAUGGGAUUUUUUACUUGAUGAAGUUUGUUUGUUUUGUGAAAAACAUGAGAUCAUCAUUCCGAAAAUGGAUGAAAUGUUCAUUACUAGUGGGAGAUCUCAAAGAAAAGUUCAGUAAAUUGCAAACCUUCACCACUAUCGAGUUGAGCUAUUUUGUGCUGUCAUAGAUUUACAACUCCAAGAACUCAACAAUCGUUUCAAUGAAAUCAAUAUGGAGUUGCUUUUGUGUAUGGCAUGCUUGAACCCAAGUGAUUCCUUUGCAGCAUUUAAUAAGAAAAAGUUGAUUCGUCUUGCAGAACAUUAUCCUUGUGAGUUUUCUAAGUUGGAUAUUCUUGCACUUGACACUGAAUUGGAUACUUAUAUUAAUGACUUGAAAUCAGCUAAGGAAUUUCUCGAUUUAAGAAAAAUCCCUGAUCUAGCUCAAAGGUUGGUGGAGACUAAGAGAGAUAUUGUGUAUCCAUUAGUUUAUAUGCUCUUAAAGUUGGCUUUGAUUUUGCCUGUUGCUACAGCUACAGUAGAAAGAGCUUUUUCAGCUAUGAAUAUAGUGAAGAAUCGGUUACGAAAUAGAAUGGGAGACACUUGCAUAAAUGAUUGUUUAGUUACUUAUAUUGAGAAAAAUAUACUUCGUGAAGUUGAAAAUGAGAAAGUUGUAAAUCGUUAUCAAAAUAUGAAAACUCGUCGUGAACAAUUGUAAAUAGUUUAGUUUGUUUUUGAAAUAAAAUUAUUAUUACAUUAAUAAUUUUGAGUUUGUCUUUUUAUGUUUUUCAUGGAAUAUACAUAUCAUUUGUACUUGUUAGUGAAUUUAUUUAUUUUUUGCUCAAAAAAUUAAAAAAAAAAGAGUAGAUAAAAAAUUUUAGUGUUAUUUUUGCUCCCACUGAGAUUUUUUUCUGGCUCCGGCACUGCAAAGGUCCAUAUCAUUUAAUUUCCAUAGAAAAGUAAAAGUUUGGUACCUUAACAUACACAAUUAAUCACCAGUCCUUCAAAUCAAGAUAUGUACAAUGUGUAAGUGAGAAUGUACAACUGAUAUUCCUAGUCUACUCUACGAGUAUCGUUACCGUAUGAAAGAAAAGGAAAGAACGAGAAGAUUUUAACAACCUUUAGUAGGCUUUUUUUUUUAAUCGACAUUUUGAGUUCUGGGAGGGAAGACUUUUUAGAGUCUUGCAGGAGUCCGUCUAAAGGGUAUUUGGAAAAUUCGACUGUCUAAUAAUCGAAUACAAUGGUGGUUCUUUCUUUCCUUUUUUUUCCUUUUUUUUUUUUUGAAUAUUUGGUACAUAGAGGUUCCAACUUUUACAAGGAGAAAGAAAAAUAGGAGAGUUUAAGGGUCAAGACCUUACGGUCAGUCACCUAAAAGCAUCCGUGCCAAUUGAGUUGAGUUUUGGGAACAAAAUUUUGGCCUUUCCAUUAUAGCAGGAUACAACUAAAUGCCCGGAUUAAUUAACUCAAUUUCCAUAAAUUUAAAAAAAAAGAGUAAGAAAUUGGUACCUCUGAUCAAUUCCAAGGGUAGAUAUAUAAUAUAAUUAUUAGUCCUUCAAAUGGAGACGAGUGUCAGUAGACUUAAAAGGAGUCCAUGAUAUUGAUAGUUGGUCUUUUGGUCACAAUAAUUAUUUCGAGAUGUUUGAUUCUUACUACCCGCCACCACUACUACCCGCCACCACCACCCACUCCUUCCUCCUUUCUCUUCCCCCUCUCUCUUCCCUUUCCCUCCCCCCGCCCCCCUUAAUCUGGCCGCAACCAAAGGCUGCGAUCUGGUCGCGGCCAGAAAGUCUGGUAGCGACUAGAUUGCGGCCUCUAGUCACAACUAGAGACCUUGAUCUGGUCUUUGGCAGAUUGAGGGAGGAAGAAAAUGGAGGGGGGGUAUUGGUGGUAGGCGGGGAUGGUGGUGGGUGGUGGGUGGUGGUGGCGGGUAGUAGUGGUGAUACGUGGAAAAUGUUAUAUAAUUCAAUUUAAAAAAAUUUUUUGUGUGUAUUUGUGAAUUAUUUUUUAUAUAUUGUAUGGAUAUGAUGUUUUUGAGUUGUUUUUAUUUGUGUAUUAUUCUAACAUUGUAUUUGAAAAUUUUAUUUUUGAAAAAUAGAUUUUUGGAUUUUUUGGUAGAAAAAUAUACUAUAUCAAUUUGAUGUAUGUGAGAUAAAAAUAAGUGUUUGAAAAUAUGAUCAUGAAAAAUAUAAAAAAAAUUCUGCAGAAAAACUUCAAGGAAUUUCUCGAGAAAAAGAAAUCCAAAAUCCUAAUUUUUUUUUCCUUUUGUUUUUAGAAAAGGAAAAAGUGCAAGCCAAAAAGCAAUAAAAUGGAUAACUUCUUUUCAUAUGAAUAUAUGAUGUUAAGUACUUUAUUUACUCAUAAAACCCAUAUUUUGGUUUAAGAAAAGCAAUACCUAAUGAAAUUGUAAAAUGAGAACGGUAACAAAGAUUAUAGUCUAAAGUACUCGUUUGAUAGGCUAGUGCAAUUUGGCGUUUCACUUGUACGCUUCAAAUGCACAUUAUCAAUCAGGCAUCCGGACGCUUGGCUAUGCAACUUGAACAAUCAUCACAUGUAGAACUGACUUUAUUCUAGUAUUUUAUAGGAAAAUAUGUACUCAAUUAGCCUGAAGUGAAUUAAAUCAUGAUUGUCAGCAUUUUAAACUUUUGAUGGUGAAGGCCUUAAUUGCUUGACAACUCCCAUGAUUAUUAUGGCUAAACUACUCAAGUUGCCUCGUUAUACUUCCAAAAAAAAAAAAAAUCUCAAUUCAAUCUUAACACUAAGAAGUGACUUGAUUUAAUCCCUUGGAAAUAACUCAUGUCAUUUUUAUGUUGAAUUAGUAGCCAAAAGAUUUAAUCGUGUAUUUUCAAUAGAACGGGGUGUAUGUGUUAUAUCAACGAUAUAUUGUUGAUGAUCAGACUAUAUGAAUUCCAAUUCUUUCAGCAAAGGUGAUAUCCAAACAACAAAAUUUCUUCAAAGACAUCUAAUAAAGAGAUUACCAAGCACCCAUGUUAUUGUUUAAGCAAUAUUAGUAUGUUUUCAUAAACAGCAUUUUAUUUGGGUUGAAAUCAAAUCAACACCUAUAUGCAUUUCAUAAACAGCAUUUUAUGAGGGAUGAAUGAGGAUGUAGGGAGAGGGACAAAACGGAGGAGGUGGAGGUGGGCUGAGUUUCUUCUGUUGAGAAGAGUCGAAGUCUCUUGAAAACCGAAGCAGAUACCGCUUGAGAUGAAAAAGGACUGAGGGUGAAGAAGAGGAAGGAGAGGAUGAUGAAGAUGUUAACGGAAGGAAAUGGGCUUGGAGCUGUUCGAGCCAUGUAAAUGUUUGUGGUUUUUGCCGCAGCAGACAACAAACAAAGAAGAGAAGUGCUGAGAAGUUUGGGAGAUGAGCAUGGGUUUAUUAUAUACACGUACGUCGAUCUGCAAGCAGGGCAUCAGUAGCGUGUUACUAUUAUUUAUUAAAGGUCCAUAUCAAAAAAAAAAAAAAUUUUUUGAUAACAAAGGUCCAUAUCAAUUUAAUUUCCAUAGAAAAGUAAAAGUUUGGUACCUUAACAUACAAGAAGGAGAGUACAUACACAAUUAAUCACCAGUCCUUCAAAUCAAAGAUAUGUACAAUGUGUAAGUGAGAAUGUACAACUGAUAUUCCUAGUCUACGAGCAGGGGCGGAGCCAGAAAAAAUUCUUAGUGGGGCAAAGCAACACUAAAAUUUUUUACCUACUAUUUUUCUAGUUUUUUAAACAAAAAAAAAAUUCACCAACAAGUACAAAUGAUGCAUAUAUUCCAUGAAAAACAUAAAAAGACAAAUUCAAAAUUAUUAAUGUAAUAAUAAUUUUAUUUCAAAAAUAAAUUAAACUAUUUACAAUUGCUCACUGCGAGUUUUUAUAUUUUGAUAACUAAUUUGGUUGUGGAAGUAAGAAUGGCUCUCGGUUGUGGAGGGAAAAUGGGGGACUAGUGGAGGGAAGGGAAAUUGGAAAGUGGGGACAAAGGAAGUGAAUGAUAUGAUUGGAUGAAUUGAUCAAGAGAAAGAGUAACUAGCUGCUUGGUUGUGGAAGGUAGUGGCUCUCGGUUGUGGGGGGAAAAUGGGGGACCAGAUGAGGGAAGGGAAAUUGAGGGAUAGGGUCCAAAGAAAGUGAAUGAUAUGAUUGGUACUUGCUAGUUAAAAUGAAAAUGAUUUUUUUUAGCUUAUUUCAAAUGAAAUUUGUGCCCCAGGUAUCAUUUUAGAAUUUUAGUUUAUGAACUAAUUUAAAAAAAUCACGUAAUUCUUUCAUAUUCUUCUAAAAAAAAAACUGUAGGGGUACAUUUAAAAUUAUAUUAAAAUUGUACAAGUAUUAUAGGAAUUUAAGAGAGACAGUGGGGUCCCGUUGCCCCCAGUGCCCCCAUCAAAUUGGAAUUUACGGUGGAAACAAGGUAGAUGCGCCGACGGCAGCUGGUGUUUCAUUUUCAUGAUGCAGACUGGGGAAAUUUUGGAGCAUUAUGCAUCCAUGCCAUUAGAUAUAUAGUGGGCUUGAUGUUAUACAAUGCAAAUUUUCUUUAAAAAAAAACUUUAAAUCAAAAUAAAUCUUGACCUAUCAAUUAUUGAUUUAAGCUAUCAAAACAUUGGCAUGUAACAUGCAAAUAAUCGUUGCUCAUAGGGCAUCAUUCCUUUCCGUCUCACACGCAGAUUAGUCCAUUGGUGGUUCUUUCUUUCCUUUUUUUUUUUUUUUUUUGAAUAUUUGGUACAUAGAGGUUCCAACUUUUACAAGGAGAAGGAAAAAUAGGAGAGUUUAAGGGUCAAGACCUUACGGUCAGUCACCUAAAAGCAUCCGUGCCAAUUGAGUUGAGUUUUGGGAACAAAAUUUUGGCCUUUCCAUUAUAGCAGGAUACAACUAAAUGCCCGGAUUAAUUAACUCAAUUUCCAUAAAUUUAAAAAAAAAGAGUAAGAAAUUGGUACCUCUGAUCAAUUCCAAGGGUAGAUAUAUAAUAUAAUUAUUAGUCCUUCAAAUGGAGACGAGUGUCAGUAGACUUAAAAGGAGUCCAUGAUAUUGAUAGUUGGUCUUUUGGUCACAAUAAUUAUUUCGAGAUGUUUGAUUCUUCGUAAUGUGGAAUAACUUUCCUCCAGACAUUCUAAAGAAACAUGAUGGAACAAGUUGCUGUUUGUGAGGUCGUAUUAAUCCUGGUGGGAACCUCUCUUGCGCAAGGAUUUUUGGGUAAUGAAUUGAUCUUUCCACAAAAACAAGUAUUUUUAUGUUUUCCUUCAUUUGUGUUCAAUUCAAUUCUCUAUAAUAUAUAUUAAUAGUACUAUUUAUCUAGAGGGGGCACCUUCAUGAAUGGACUAUCUCUAGAGGUUCUCCUUCACAUUUGACGCGCAGAUUACGCCAUUAGGCAAUUCGGGCGACUGAGCGGUCAACACAAGGCGACAUCAAAACAGUUGCGCAUUUGGCCCACCAGUACUAUGCAACCAAUCAAACUACUCCGGUCUUGAUUUAUUUUCUUCAGUUUCCAUUUCAUCUACUUCUCCACUGAACCUCUAGAGAAAGCUCAGUCGUUAACUUUGCUUGUCUGUUCAAACGUCUAACAUCAAAAUUAGAAUUUAAAUCAAAACCUUAAAGUGGGAACAAAGUGCCAUCUUUUAAAAACAAAAAAAAAACUAAUACAUCGAAACGUAAAAUUGAUAUAAUAGAUGGGAGAAAUUUCUUCGAAACUCCAAAAUGUGAUUCUCGAGUAGAUUAAUGCAAGUCUUAUAAAUUGAUUACAUUUUCAAUCAAUUCAAUUUCAGGGUAAACAUGCAACAUGCCCAAGUAUAGCUCUGCCCUGGUUUUCACGGUACAACCACUUUUUCGUUCUCAAAGAAGUCAUUAGCAUACUAAAGAAAGAAAAGGACCUAAAAGGAAAAAGAAAAGGAUCUAAUUAUACUAAGAAUCACAAAAGUUAGUUUGGUUGAGAAAAGGAAGUAGUACUUUAGAACAAACAAAGGUAGACGAUGAGAUCCUCAAAAUAUCAUAACUAUGAAAACAUUUAGUAUAUAUUUAUAUAUAUGAAGAACAACAUUUAUUUGGGUUGAAAUCAACUAUAUAUACAUAUAAAUAUAUAUAUAUAUAUAUAUAUAUAUUCUAGUAGUAGCACUAGAGGGAGGGAGUGCUCUAACAUUUAUUGGCAAGGUCGUAAGUGACCCGCAUCCCUUGCUGCUGUAUAUUCCCAAGAAGAAAUCCAAAAUCCUAAUUUUUUUUUCCUUUUGUUUUUAGAAAAGGAAAAAUGAAAGCCAAAAAGCAAUAAAAUGGAUAACUUCUUUUCAUAUGAAUAUAUGGUGUUAAGUACUUUAUUUACUCAUAAAACCCAUAUUUUGGUUUAAAAAGAAAAGCAAUACCUAAUGAAAUUGUAAAAUGAGAACGGUAACAAAGAUUAUAGUCUAAAGUACUCGUUUGAUAGGCUAGUGUAAUUUGCCGUUUCACUUGUACGCUUCAAAUGCACAUUAUCAAUCAGGUAUCAGGACGCUUGGCUAUGCAACUUGAACAAUCAUCACAUGUAGAACUGACUUUAUUCUAGUAUCCUAUAGGAAAAUAUGUACUCAAUUAGCCUGAAGUGAAUUAAAUCAUGAUUGUCAGCAUUUUAAACUUUUGAUUGCGAAGGCCUUAAUUGCUUGACAACGCCCAUGAUUACUAUGGCUAAACUACUCAGGUUGCCUCUUUUUAUACUUCCAAAAAAAAAAAAUUUAUCUCAAUUCAAUCUUUAACACUAAGAAGUGACUUGAUUUAAUCCCUUGGAAAUAACUCAUGUCAUUUUUAUGUUGAAUGAGUAGCCAAAAGAUUGAAUCGUGUAUUUCCAAUAGAACGGGGUGUAUGUGUUAUAUCAACGAUAUAUUGUUGAUGAUCAGACUAUAUGAAUUCCAAUUCUUUCAGCAAAGGUGAUAUCCAAACAACAAAAUUUCUUCAAAGACAUAUAAUAAAGAGAUUACCAAGUACCCAUGUUAUUGUUUAAGCAAUAAACAGCAUUUUAUUUGGGUUGAAAUCAAUUCAACACCUAUAUGCUUUUUAACAUUUAUUUGGGCUGAAACCAUACAUCUUGUUGGCAAGGUCGUAAGUAACCCGAAACCCCUGCUGCUGCGUGUUGCCAAUUACUGAGCGAGGUUGAGAAGUGGUCUGGAAAGCCAAACAGAACGUGCCGUCGGAAUCAGCACGAAACAGGUAAUUUUGAGGUUUCAGCGGCAGCGUCUUGCCCCCGGAGAACUGAAACGACAUCAUUGGGAAGCCAUCUCUGGUAGGCGUAGAGGAUAGAUCAUAACAAGUGUCGAGACCACCGAUCCCAGCGGCGGGAGGCAACUUUUUAGCGUACUUAACAAAGGUGUCGCGGACCGAGUUAUAUACCUGAGCUGGCAACGCUGUGAUGGUGGUACCCGAGUCGACGAUGAUUCCCCCACGCCCAUCUUCGCCUAUUUGAUAAGCCGAUGCAGGAAUGGGCACUUGUUCUCCAUUAAUGGUGAUCCCCGUGAGUUCCACGUAGUAAUAAAUCUCAGAUUUUGGGUUCAUAAUCAAAGGAACGAGGAUUGAGUCACCAGGUGGAGCUGAGUUAAACUCGAGAGUCGAGGACGAGCUGGAGUCCAAAUCCACGAGGCAGUAGGAGAAAGACUUCGCCUGAAUUUGAGAAGGAAAGCCUACUGCAGUGCCCCCAAGGCCGAGUAUGCCAGCUGCCUUGCCAAAUUGGCCUUGAUUCGCGUGCCCGCACCCGAUAGCCACUUUCUGAACCGAACCCGAACUCCCGAACGACACCGUUUCAGUGGCAAAUUCUCCAAUACUGAUGGAAUUAUCCCCGUACAACGCUCCGUAGAUGCAAGUGUUGUUUCGGCCGCACUGGUAAUUCUGGCGGCUCAAGGCGGUGCACUGCUGCGAUGUGCAGGAUAAAGGGCUGUAAGACGAGGAUCCGGAUGGGUCGAAUAUCGGGUCGGUUUGGGCGUAGCACUGACCGCAGGGCAGGCAUUGGAGCCAGUUGAUUUGGCUGCCCGUAUCCGCUAUCAGGUAGUAUUCUUUCACGGGUUGGCCCACUCCGACCCGAGCCACGUACCCUCCGCCAGACGGAGUCAGCGGAGCUUCGAGGUCCUCCGGUUGGACUUGGACGUCGGGUUUGACGUCAUGAGGGCGGUUGAAAGCGGAGAGAGCCCGCUCAAUGUUGGAGUUGAUGAGCUUGGCUCGGGCCCGGUCACCUGCGAGCCGGGAGAGUACGAGGUCGGAGUAGCUGUCGUAUGGCGGCUUUAUGACGGAUGAAUGAGGAUGCAGGGAGAGGGACAAAACGGAGGAGGUGGGCUGAGUUACUUCUGUUGAGAAGAGUCGAAGUCUCUUGAAAACUGAAGCAGAUACCGCUUGAGGUGAAAAAGGACUGAGGGUGAAGGAGAAGAAGAAGAAGAGGAUGUUAAUGGAAGGAAAUGGGCUUUGAGCUUUUCGAGCCAUGUUUGUGGUUUUGGAGCAGAAGAGAAGAUGGAAGAGAAGUGAUGAGAAGUUUGGAACGAGCAAGGGUUUAUAUACACGUACGUCGAUCUGCACGUAGGGCAUGUGGUUAAUUAAGACAAGGCUGCAUUCACAUUUUAUUUAUUUAUUUUUUUGUUGAGGAUAAGUUCAAAUUGAAUUACGGUAGAAAACGAUGAUCAGACACAACCAGACGCUUCUUCCCUGAAGAAAUGAAGAGAAAAUUAAAGUAGUAGCAGUUGCUUAACGAUAGUACGUAGUAAUUCAGAUGCUUCGUAUAUAUGGAGAAGCAGUCUGAAAAAAUGGCCCCUCACAAAUAUCACCAUAUUAACCAUCCUCUUUUAACUUUUUAAGAGCGAAGACUUAGAGGAGCGUAGACAUGAUAGUUGGUCCUUCUGGUGGGCAUUGGUCACAAUAAUUAUCUUAAUUAUGGCAUUGAAUAUGAUGGAAAAUUGGAAUUGCAGUGGCUAGGGAACAAGAAGGCUUUGAAGGUAGAUGGACGAACGGCAACAGACAACUCAGUUUGAUCUUUGAUGAAGAGCAAAUAUAUAUUGGCUCGGCUGCAGGGUUAUACCUAAUUAGAAAUAAUUAGGGUUAAUAUAAAAAAAAAAAAAACCCACAGAAAAUUGCCAUCUGCCAAUCACACUGAUUACUGUGACUUCCUUGUUUCCGAUAGUCAUGCCUUCGUUAUCUAUAGUUAAAUGGUGGGUGCUAUGGAUUAAUAUAUAUAUAUAUAUAUAUGCAAGUAAUAAUUUUUCGUAAAGAAAUGUUUAAGGGUUUUACGUAAAAACCCUUAAAAAAAAAAGAAAUCUUCAAAGGUUUUACAUGCAAAUUCUUUCCCCAAGAGUUGUGGAACACAAGGAAUUACGUGGCUCUCUAAACUCACCACUUGGGAUCCUCGGUGACAUGUUUUUUAUGCCAACCCAAUGUCACCAAUAGUGUUACGCCAAGUGUCUUGUUAUUAAUUACACUUUAAUUUUCUAAUAAUUCAACUUGGCUUGAUUUAACACAAAUAUAAAUAAUAACAAGACACUUGGCGCAAUACUAUUGGUGGCAUUGAAUUGGCAUAGAAAACAUGUCACCGAUGAUCCCAAGUGUAAACUCACACGGUCCGCAAUUUUACCUGCAUGGUCCAGGUCCAUCUCUAAGAAGAAGAGACAGUACAAUUGUAAUUUUUUUUUUUGUAUAAUAUAAUGAAUGCGAUGGCCCUUUCUUUGAACAGAGAAAAAUUCUGCAAAUACCGUAGACGUUCAUCUUGACAUAUAAGCCAUACUUGAAAUCAAAGUAAUAUCCCAUGCAUCAGAGCUUACUAGCUAGUAUUAUUGAUUUGAACAAUAAAAUCAAGGGAGUGGAGUGUAAAAUUCAGAUAAUCGUUUUUCAUGCCAUGCAGAUUAGGCCAUUAGGCGAGUAAGCGGUCAACGGUAAUCAAAACAGUUGCACAUUUACAAUUUAGUCCACUCGUCAACCAAUCAGACCAUUUCUUCUUCUUCUCCAUUUGAUUUAACCUAGAGAAAGUCUAGUCGUCAUUCGUUAAUGCUCUUUCUAGUUUAAAUGUCUUAACAGGAUUGAAUUAAAACAUAAAAUGAAACGAAAUUCUCCCUUUUGCUUUUCUUUUCUUCUCUUCUUUUUUUUUUUUUAAAAUUUGGGGAUAAUUUCAUUCAAUGAAAAUUGCACUAAUAGCAGUAAAUAACAUCAAAAUGUGCAAGGAAUGCAACAGACAGAAGGAAUUUUCUUCUAUUUCGAAGAAUUAAGACAAUCCAAAUUGUGAUUCUCAAAUAGACUAAUGCAAGUUUCAUAAACUGAUUAGAAUUUUGAAUUAUUAGCUCUAUUUGCUAGUAAGAAAAAAAAACACCUAGACCAAAGCAAUAGAAGAGAAAGAACGAAAGGCCAACUAGAAAAUUACUAUCAAGUUAAAGUUGUAAAUUUCCGUUGAUAUUAUCAAAUAUUAUCAAGUUUCAUUAAACUAAGGUUGUACACUUCCGUUAUUUCUAUUGGCCGAUUAUCAAAGUGGCGAUGUCAAAGACAAUAUCAAUCAGGCUGUCGGUCUAACUUAUUUCAUUUAACGAUUUGUUUUAUGUGUUGAAUCAUUCUGCAAGCAAAGCCAAUGGCGACUAGUCGAUCAAUCAGACAUCCAAAGAAGUUAACCUUCUUUGCAAGCUGAUGUGACUGCCAAGAACCAGAUCCGAACUGAGCUGUAUCGAGCCGAGCUGAUCAGGCGCAAGCGACCUAGAAGUGGAAACCGAGCUAAUGCACCUACAAAGAAAGAUCAAGUGCGGGACUGGUGUCCCCGGAAUAACUCCGACGGCCAAGUUAGUCAAGCUUGUCCACGGAGUAAUAGUAGAGAAUACUUGUGUAUGCGUACCUUGUAUUGUCCCUAGGCAUGGUUUAUAUAGGGCAGAGUGGGUUGUAGUUUCCUUGUGGAAGUCAGAAUCCCCGUAGGGUUCGGAGUCUUCUUAGGGUUUCGUGCGGCGGCUCCUACAAGUUCGGAGGCGGCGGCCCAUAGGCCCAUCUCAGGGAUCGACAAGUAAGGCCGAGCUGGCAUCCACAUGCCGAGCUAGCGCCUGCGAGUCGUGAGGUCUCCACCGUCGACCUGACGCGCACAACCUGCUGAGCUGACACGUGUCACGUGCAGAUUUGCCCCACUACACUAGCCCCCUUGAGUCUAGAGUCACUGAUGAGUCACGUGGGUCUGGACCAAACUUCGAAGCGUCACGUCGGCUUCGUGCGGGACCCACGAUCCCACGAUCACGUACCUCCUCCGAAAAACUGCCACGUCCGCCGUCGUAACCGUCACUUCAAGGGUCACGUCCGUCAUGAUGGAGGUUUGUCAGCUCAAGCGUCUUCCAAGGUAACCGCCCCCUUGCAAUAAGUUCGAAUUUCUUUCUCAGGACUCUUCGGCUUCCCGCCCAGGGAGCCUAUAAAUAGGCCCCACCAAACGUCACUUUCAAGCCUCCCCUCUCAUUUUCUCUUCUCCUCCAGUCUUCUUCAGCUCGCUCCGCAUUCCGUGAGGUCGUCCGAGAGUAGGAUUACCUUCUAAGCACAUCCCAGCUCUUCUCCUUUAUCCACCAGUAAGUCCUCCUUUUCCUUUUAUGUCGUCUUCCUCCACACACUCAGACCUUACCAGCUCAGCACCUAGGCGUAGGAUUACCCGACCUGCACUCAUAGAAAUACCUUCCUCCAGCUCCUCUUCUUCCAGCUCGUCUGAUUCUGAAUACCUUCCUCCCCCAGCCCCACCUCUUGCUAUAGCCAUGGACCAACCUGGCCCAUCUGCUCAGCCCGGGGCUGGAGCUACUGUCCCAGGGAUUCCUCUGGAGGUAGUUCCAGCUCGCUCUAGGGCAGGACCCCCUAGGGGGCCAGACAUCGACUUUGGAGAAGUCGAAAUUAUUCCCCCCCUUCUCGACCAGGGAGACGUAGAUGAGCUAGUGGGGAGGUAUGACAUCCUUCCCCAGUUCGAGGCUAGGGCAGCCCGGCCAGGGGAGUAUGCUUGCCUACCUCCCCCUGGGUUUGUAACUAUCUACAGGGAUCAGCUCGUGGCUGGUCUUCGCCUUCCCAUUCCCUACUUUCUUUAUGACAUCCUAACCUUUUGGGGCAUUUGAAUCACCCAGGUCGUUCCCAACGCCAUUCGGUCCAUCCUCGGCUUCUUUAUUUUGUGUCGAGCUCUUGAAAUCCCUUAUUCUCUGGACCUAUUUAGGUCUUUCUUUCAGAUGAAGGUAAGCGGCCCAGUUCAUGGUUGGUUCUACUUCGCUCGCAGGAGCGGAGGGGAACUCCCUACCCGCGAGCUGUUCACUCAUAUGCCUUCUUCCAUCAAGGGCUGGAAAGCCCAGUUCUUUUUUGUGAAGAAUACUGGGUUUCCUCCCCUAACUUGGAGGGAGGAUACCCAGGUGACCGAUCCAAUCCCUUCUCCCCUGCCCGAGGCCGAGCUAGACCGCUUGGUCAGCUCGGAAGCUCAACUGAAGGUGAAGGAAUUUAACAAUGCCCAACUCUGGUCGGCGGGGCUAAUCCGAGCAGAGGUGAACGACCCUGCCCCCGAUCUCCGACCUAUCACCCCCGAGGAGCUGACAGCUUGUAAUUUUCUCGACUUCCUCCUUUUCAUGAGUCCACACCAUCCUAACUGACUAAGUGUUUCUGUCCUGCAGUGAAGAGGUUUUCCCAGCUGCUGAACAUUGGCGGAAUUGGUAGCGCGAGCACGCCAACUCCUGCGCCUUCCACAGCGCCGAGCAGCACGGUGCCUCCACCUCCACCUGUGUCCACUCCCCAAAUUGCCGCUCAGUCUUCACUGGGGGAGGGAUCAAAGAAGAAAAGAAAGAAGUCCACGGCCAAGAAGGCCAGGACAGAGGCGGCUUCCCCCCAGUCCCAGGAGGAGCCCUCUACUGCCAUUGCCUCUCAUUACGGGGUGAGCUCCGCCGAGCAGCAGGCCUCGUCACAAUCUCCCCCUGCUAUGUGGCGUAUGAGGAAUGUAAUUCCCAUGAAGCCCCCUACCGAACUGGGCUCACACCCACACCCCCUCCAUUUCUGCCCGAAGUGGGGGCUGUCGGUGAACGACCGAGCUCAGUUCCCUGAAGUGGCGAAGGAGCUCGUCAAGGGCGCUGUACUCCCCCGCGAUCACCACUUCAUCCAACUUGCCACCAAUGCUGAGCUGCUAGAGCACUUCUACCUCAGCACCACCCAGGUAGCUUCUUAACUAGCACUUUCUUUGGCACCCUUUCGAGUUUUGCUGCCUACUUAUCCUGUAACUAAUAUGCAGCUCAAUGUUACGGGGGCCGAGCUGGCUCAGCGAUAUGAGAACAUGGGGGUCAACCUGUCCCAGGUUGACGCUGCCAAAGAGAAGCUGUCCAGCCAGCUCGAGGCUGCAGAGACCGAGCUGGAGACCCUGAAGAAGCAACUUGCAGAUGCCAACUCCUCCUGCGAACUGGAAAAGAAGAAAGCGGCCGAACUGGCUGCGACUUUGGAGGCAGAGCAGAAAAAAUCUGCCGAGCUGGUGGAGGCGGCAAGGGAAGAGGGGCGUCAGCAGGGCGUCCAGGAGUUCAAGAAAUCUGAACGCGGACGACCUCACGGAAUGCGGAGCGAGCUGGAGAAGACUGGAGGAGAAGAGAAAAUGAGAGGGGAGGCUUGAAAGUGACGUUUGGUGGGGCCUAUUUAUAGGCUCCCUGGGCGGGAAGCCGAAGAGUCCUGAGGAAGAAAUUCAAACUUAUUGCAAGGGGGCGGUUACCUUGGAAGACGCUUGAGCUGACAAACCUCCAUCAUAAAGGACGUGACCCUUGAAGUGACAGUUACGAAGGCGGACGUGGCAGUUUUUCGGAGGAGGUACGUGAUCGUGGGAUCGUGGGUCCCGCACGAAGCCGACGUGAUGCUUCGAAGUUUGGUCUAGACCCACGUGACUCAUCAGUGACUCUAGACUCAAGGGGGCUAGUGUGGUGGGGCAAAUCUGCACGUGACACGUGUCAGCUCGGCAGGUUGUGCGCGUCAGGUCGACGGUGGAGACCUCACGACUCGUAGGCGCUAGCUCGGCAUGUGGAUGCCAGCUCGGCCUUACCUGUCGAUCCCUGAGAUGGGCCUAUGGGCCGCCGCCUCCGAACUUGUAGGACCCGCCGCACGAAACCCUAAGAAGACUCCGAACCCUACGGGGAUUCUGACUUCCACAAGGAAACUACAACCCACUCUACCCUAUAUAAACCAUGCCUAGGGACAAUACAAGGUACGCAUACACAAGUAUUCUCUACUAUUACUCUGUGGACAAGCCUGACUAACUUGACCGUCGGAGUUAUCCCAGGGACGCCAGUCCCGCCCCUGACCUUUCCUCGCAGGUACAUCAGCUCGGCUCCCUCUCUCAGGCUAGCUGCGCCUGACCAGCUCGGUUCGCUACAGCCCAGCUCGGAUCUGGUUUUGGCAGUCACAUCACAAGCAUUUUUGUGGAAAAUGAAACAGCGAAUGGAAUGGAAUGGUUGUACAAUUCCCUCCUUGCCAAGUAAUUGAUUUCCUGAUAGUUCCCCCAAAACGAUGUCGACUAUCAACGAAGUACAUCAUAUAUACCGUGUUUACUAAUCGAAAGAACGAUUAUUUUUCUUAUCUAAUGUAUAUCUGAUCAUGUAUAGAUGCAUGACUCAUGUACGUUUUAAAUUUUAUAUCUAUAACAUGUAUUUAAAUUCGUUAAUAUAUACGUACGCUGUCAGUGUACAAAAUAUAUUUAUUAAAACAAAAUUUUUAUAAAUUUCUCAAGUUCAUUAUCAUGUUUUCAUGACUAAGUUAACCGAUGAAAAAAGGCACUCAAUUGACGGAACUUUUAAUAAGAAAAGCACUAUGAACAUGUAAGGCAGAAAUCAACGAUAUGGAUAUUAAAGCAUUGAAAUGGAGGAAUCUUCAUCGAUCAUAUCAGAAACCGAAUUAUAUUAGACUAACUUUGUACCGGUGUUACUUGACAUUCCGACGAGUGGAGAUGGAAAAUAAUGUGAACGUCCAGCCAAAUAAUUUGGUGGGGAUAACAAACUGAUGCGAUGUCCAAACCUGGCAAAAAGCAUUGGACCUCUAUUGUCCUUGUCGCCCCAACAAUUUCAAAAUUGAGUUUUGUCUGUUACAAAUUAGUUUACACGAUUCUUAUUACAUUUAGUGUAAAUUUAUCCCAUAAUCGCUUGUCCUAGGUUACUAAAGACUUAUUCUUGAUUGAUUACUUUAGCUAUAUAUUUAUGGAUUCUGACGUUAGAUAAUCAAUUUUUUUGAUAUUUUUGUUUAUUUUAAUUAUACAAAUUUUUUAUUUUUAAUAUUAAAAAACUAAAUUUCAUAAUCAAUCAAAAAAAUAAAUUUUACUAAUAUUCUCAUUAUUCUCUAUAGUCAUUUUUUUUUAAAUCUUAAUCUGAUUUUGUAAAAUCUGAAACCAAGCAGUAUUAGUAUGAAUUUACUAAUAUUUUGGUUCCAAUUUCUUCGGAUGUCCUCUCGAAGGAAGGGACAGUAUUUUGGUUCAAAUCAAAUAUAUUCUCGUACUAGCAAUAAGAGACGGUGCUCAUGGUCUUAACAUUGAUUCGGACUAAAACCAAUCAACUUAUUGGUAAGGUCGUAAGUGACCCGCAUCCCUUGCUGCUGUCUGUUCCCAAUUAUUGACACCCGUUCCGAAGACACCCGUUCCGAACUGCCGGUGAAAGCCAAACAGUGCUUGCCACUGGUAUCAACACGAAUCAAAUAAUUUGCAGGCCUCAGCGACAGUGUUUUGCCCCCAUGGAAUUCAAACGACAUCGUUGGAUAGCCAUCUGUGGGUUCAGAUGAUAGAUCAUAGCAAGUGUCAAGUUUAACUGGACCAUAGUCGAACCCGCUCGCGGGAGGCAAGGCUCGAGCGUACUUAACAAACGUAUCGCGGACCGAGUUAUAGACCUGAGUUGGGAACUCAGUUAUCGCGGUGCCCGAGUCAACUAAGAUUCCCCCGCGUCCAUCUUCGCCUAUUUGGUAAUCUGAUGCCGGGAUGGAUACUUUUUCUCCAUUAAUAGUGACCCCCGUGAGUUCCACGUAAUAAUAAGCCUCAAUUCUUGGGUUAAUUAUCAAGGGAACGAGGACUGAGUCACCAGGUGGAGCUGAGUUAAAUUCAAGACUCGAGGACGAGUUCGAGUCCAUAUCCACAAGGCAGUAGGAGAACGACGUCGCUCUAAUUUGAGACGGGAAGCCUACAGGAGUGCCCCCAAGACCAAGUAUCCCAGCUGCCCCGCCAAACCCGCCCUGGUUCGUAUGCCCGCACCCGAUGGCUACUUUGUCAACAGAGCCCGAACUUCCAAACGACACCGUUUCGGUGGCGAAUUCGCCCAUGCUACUGAAGUUAUCUCCGUACGACGCUUUAUACGUACACGGGUCAGCUUUGCAAUUUUGGUUUUUUUCCAGGGAGGUACACUCCUGCGAUGCACAGGAUAAAGGACUAAAAGAUGAAGACCCGGAUGGGUCAAAGAUCGGGUCGGAUUGUUCGUAGCAUGGAUCGCAGGGCAGGCAUUGGAGCCAGGUGAUUUGGCUACCCGUAUCCGCUAUCAGGUGGAAUUCUUUCACGGGUUGGCCCACUCCGAUCCGAGCUAAGUACCCUCCCUCAGAAUGAGUCAGUGGAGUUUUGAGGUCCUCCGGCUGGACUUGUACGUCCGGUUUAACAGCAUGACGGCGGUUGAAGGUGGAGACAGCCCGUUCGAUGUUGGAGUUGAUGAGCUUGGCUCGGGCUCGGUCACUCGCGAGUCGGGAGAGUACCAGGUCAGAGUAGUUGUCGUAUGGCAGCUUUAUGAUGGAGGAAUGAGGAUGUAGGGAGAGUGACAAGACGGAGGAGGUUGAGCUAGGCUGAGCUUCUUCUGUUGAGAAGAGUUGAAGCCUCUUGAAAGCUGAAGCAGAGACAACUUGAGGUGAAAAAGGACUGAGGGUGAAGGAGAAGAAGAAGAAGAAGAGGAUGAUGAAGAUGUUAAUGGAAGGAAAUGGCCUUUGAGCUUUUCGAGCCAUGUACAUGUUUGUGGUUUUGGUGAUGAGAAGUUUGGGAGAUGAAGUUGCGUCCACAUUGUUUUGGUUUAGGAUACAACUAACGGAUCCGGAUAAGUUCAAAUGUUCGAUCACAGUAGAAAACUUUGGUCUUUCUUUAUUAUAUAUUUUUUGUUUCCAGUAUGACUCUGUUCUACCCCAAUUUUAUUUUUUAUUGUAUUAUUAUUAUUUUUUUCACAAAAAUUAUAUUUUAAUUCUUUUUUAUUUCUCACGUUCAAAUAACCACUGACACAUACAAAUGUUUUUCAAGAUAGAUGGGCCAAAUGAGACUGAACUACCAUCAUAGAAUAGCCCAAUUAAGUUGGGAAAAUCUAACGGGAAUUGAACUGCCAUCAGAUUAGACGGGUAUACCAUGCAGUCGUAUGAAUUUAGAACAAAUCUCAUAUAAAGACACAUUGAUGGGAGAUAAGAUUUGAAACCUUAACCUCCCAUCGCACGAUUAAUGUGAUGGCCAACUCAAUAUGACUGCAGGGUCACUGUGACUUCUUUUUCCUGUAAUCACGGCUUUGUUAUCUAAAGUUAAAUAUGAUUGCUAAUAAUUUUUCGUAAAGCAUUCUUUAAGGGCUUUACAUGCAAAUUCUUUCCCUAAAGAGGUGCGGGCACAAGGAUGUGGCUCUUUAAGCUCACAAGUUCAGCCAUUUGGACCAGGUCCAUAUAAAAAGUUUCCUGUGCAAUAUUCGAGAGGCUUUUGUAUAACAUAACCAAAGUUUUCCUUUUAUAUGUAAGGAAUUUAGAAUUUCUUUUUUUUUUCCUUUUAUAUACAAGCUCUGGCUGUUUAUAGAGUUUUUGACCAAAGAUUGUUAUUCAUAAAAGUUUUGAAAUUAAAAAAAUUUUGAGAAAAAGAAACGAAAAAAAUGCUGUUUGUAGAGUUGUAAUCUUCGUGGGAACGCCUUGGCCUAGGAUCAUUUGUUUCUCUUAUUAGGAAUAUGAAACUUAUGAGAUUCAUAAAAUUUAAUGGACGGUAGGUUAGGUUCCCAUUUUCCGCUUUUUUCUGUAUUUUGAUGAAAUUCUCCAGCAAAGUUCUCAAUAAUUCUGCAGUUGAACACACUUGUAACGCUGCCUAACAUAAUUCUGCAGGAGUAUUAAUUGUUUCCAGGAGUCAGCCUACUGAUGCAAGAUGACCACAAUGGUCCCUAUUUAAAAAUUGCCUUCAAGGAACUAAGCAUCAAGUUGAAAAAUCGAGAUCAAAGACAAUAAAAUAGGAAUAAUCUAAUGUUUCAAAAAGACACAUUUCUCUGAAGUUCAAGUCUAAGAAAGUAAAAGGUGAAUAACAUACUUUUCUCAUCUGUACAGAUGGAUUCAAGGCAAUUAGAAAGUACAUAGCAGUAUGCAUUCAUCCUUUUUCUUUUGCAUCCAAGAGAGACUCAAAUACUACCAAACUGGUAUAACAUAUCUGUUAUGCAGAGAUCCAUGC
rnacentral:lncRNA from 1 species